CGGAAAGAGAAAAACGGCGCCCAGCAGCUCCGUUCUGCUUCUUCUUCAUUUUUCUUCAACUCCCAAGCUGAAAUGAAGGACCCCCUCCUUCCUCUUCUCAUCUCACUAACACACACACACACACUCAUCUACACAUACUUAGAAACAUCUGAAAACAGAUUUUGAAAUUCAAAAAUUUCCUUUCUAAGAUCUGAAAUUUUCGGCUUCAAAAAAUAGAAAAAAAUUUGAUUUCGACACUCUAAAACAAUUAGUUUGUGUUUGUCGAUUCAAAGAGAUCUCCUACGUCGUUUCCUGGGUUUUCAAGCUGAAUCUAGUCCGUAAUUGGAGGAUGUAGAUGAGCUGUUUGCUUACUGACUUUGGAUGUGCUGGAAGCUGAGCUUCAUUAUACCUUUGCUUUGUGAUUUGUUACAUUUAAAUCUGUCAUAAACAAGGUAUUCUGUUUUUCUCUUCUCAUAAGUAUGUAAUUAUCAAUUUGUGAAUGCAAAAUAUGCUUUACUCAAGGUCUGUGAGCGUAGAUUAUGGUUCCUGAUUGUUUGUAUCGAAACACAUGGUUAUUGAUUAGUGCUUAUCUCAAUUUGAUGCUUAAAUUCUACUCAUAUGAGUAAUGUAUUUUCUGGAAAUUCAUGCUGAUUAGUACCUGCCAGACAAAUGGGAACGGGAAUAGGCAUGGAUAUAUGAGUUUGGAUUUGUUUCGAAUUUGUACUGCUAGUGAGAACCAGAAAUUUUAUUCUUGCGUGUUUGUGAGUUUAAAACUAGGAUCUGCAUUGAAAAAUGUGAAAUCCAGUGUGGUUGUAGUUCAAUUCUAGGACUUAAGGCAUCUGUUUAAUACAUACCUACUGUUCUAAAGAAACCAAAAAAAAAAGAGUUGAAGUCGCAUGUGGAUUUUGAUUGAAUUCUCGAAUUGUAGAGCAUUUGUCAAUUUCACAUUUUCGGAUUUUCAACAUUGUUGUAGGCAAGGUUGAAUAUUUUGCCUUGAUAUGCUUUCAAUGAAUAAUAGGGAAUUAGCUUUGUCAUGAUCCAUGUUUUACGUUAGUAUCACUUGCUCAGAGGUUUCGUGUUAAAUGUUUGCUGUCAUUAAUGGAAUGGUUCAUGGAUGUGGCUGAGUUGUAUGUUAAUUAUAUACCAUUGUGUGAGGUGAAUAGUCUACAAUAUGGAGUUCUACUGGUUAAUCUUUCAAAUUAUAUUUUCUUAUCUCACGUUGGGAUUCCCAUGAAAAUUAUAAUUGAUGCAUUUUGGUCUCUUUAUUGAACUUUGUUCGGGGUGAUUUCAUAACACCCUAGGUUUCGACUAUUGGAGUUAUUUCUUUCUGGGCAAGGAACAAGAAUGGGUUAUAAGGUGGGUCUUGAAGCAUAAGGAAUUUGGGCCAAGAAAUAGAUCAUAUUAGCUAGCCUAUUUACUCCCCAAUAAUAUCUUGUCCAUAAAUUCGGCAUCACAACAAUCUCAAAUUAGUUUAAGAGAUAAUUUACAUGAACAUCCGUAGUUUGCGUUAAGUUGAGGGCAAUCUGUUGAAAUUAGAAUCGAGGCAUGCUAUUUAGUUGAAUUUUCCAUGGCCCUCGCAAAUUUGAAAGUGCGUAGUUGCUUUAUGCGUGCUAUUUUAAUAAUUUACCUUCCUAAACUUGGGUGCGCAUUUAUGUGACCCAAAUCCAAAUCUCAACAAUGUUAGAUAAAAUGUGUUGCGGAUUGCGGGUGUAUUUAUGUGACGUGUUUCAAGACGCGUUUAUGUGACGUUGAAUUUUCCCUAAAAAAAUAUUUAAUUAAAAGCGGUUUUAAAGUUAAAAUGCACAUAGGCUAAAACAUGCAUUAAAAUCAGAUAAUAGGUCAAUUAUAACAGUUGAGCGACCGUGCUAGAACCACGGAACUCAGGAAUGCCUAACCCCUUCUCCCGGGUUAACAGAAUUCCUUACCCGGAUUUCUGUGUUCGCGGACUGUAAAACAGAGUCAAUCUUUUCCUCGAUUCGGGAUUUGAACCGGUGACUUGGGACACCAUAAAAUUAUCCCAAGUGGCGACUCUGAAUUUUUUUAAUAAAUAAAUCCCGUUUCGAUUGUCACUUUAAGUUGGAAAAAACUCCCUUAUAUACACUCUUCCGGGGGUGUAGACAAAAAGGAGGUAUGACAAUCAAUAGGGACUUUAUCGUAGGCUUACCUCGUACCCAACGUAAGUUCGAUUCGAUAUGGGUGAUUGUGGAUAGGCUUACAAAGUCAGCCCAUUUUCUGCCUGUUAGAACUACAUAUUUCUCAGAGGAUUAUGCGAGGCUUUAUAUCAAGGAGAUAGUAAGACUGCAUGGUGUCCCUGCAUCUAUUAUCUCGGAUAGAGGAGCUCAAUUUACAACUAAAUUUUGGAGGUCCUUCCAAAAGGGAUUGGGGACUCAUGUAAGUCUUAGUUUAACAUUUUAUCCCCAGACAGACGGACCGUCUGAGCGUACUAUUCAAACACUAGAGGAUAUGUUUUGAGCUUGUGUAAUAGACUUCAAAGGUAGCUAGGAUGAUCAUCUGCCGCUUAAUGAGUUCGCAAAUAAUAGUUACCAUUCUAGAUUCUGAUGGCUCCAUACAAAGCUCUUUAUGGACGGAAGUGUAGGUCGCCUAUAGGGUGGUUUGACGUUGGAGAAUCUGGAUUAUACGGGCCAGACCUGGUUCAUCAAGCCAUAGAAAAAGUAUAGUUGAUUCGGGGUCGACUAUUGACAGCUCAGAGUUGUCAGAAGUCAUAUUCUGACGUGCGGCGAUGAGACUUAGAGUUCGGGCUUGAUGAUUGGGUAUUCUUAAAGGUGUUGCCUAUGAAGGAUGAGAUGAGGUUUGGCAAGAAAGGAAAACUUAGCCCACAAUAUAUUGGGCCAAGUAGCUUAUGAGUUAGAAUUGCCCACGGAAUUGGAGUCUGUCCAUCUGGUUUUUCACGUAUCUAUGUUACGGAAGUGCAUUGGCGAUCUUACCCGAGUGGUGCCCACGAAUGAUGUACAUAUUACAAAAGACUUAUCAUACGAGGAAGUUCCGGUUGCCAUCCGAGACCAACAGAUCCGCAAGCUGUGGAAUAAGGAGGUAGCCUCCGUGAAAGAACUUUGGAGAAACAAAAAUAUGGAAGAAGUGACUUGGGAGGCCGAGGAAAAUAUGAAGUCUAGAUAUCCCUACUUAUUUCCUCCCCCAGAGAAGGGUCCGACUGAGACGUCAUAAUCAUAAGAUACGUGUAUAAAUUCUUGUGUUGGUUCUUGUCGUUCGUUAUGUUAGGCCAUUGUCGUUAUUCAUAAUUAUGAGCUUGUCUGUCGUUAGGUUAUUAAGCUUCUACGGGGAAAGUUGGUAGUGGUGUUGUUAUAGAGGCGACCUUGGCAAGGUUAUAUAGAUCACAGAGAGUUAAACAUUCGAGGACGAAUGUUUCUAGGGGGAGGGGGAGGAUGUUACAUCUCGCGUUUUCGUACGUUAAAAUUUUGUUUUCAGUUAACCGACGUAGACUCGGGGAUGAGAUCAUCUUGACGUUAACAUACUUACGCUAUUUAUAACGAGCGAUAAACAAGUGUUAUGAAGGAUAAAGGGGUACACGGAUUAAAGAAAACGAGUUUCAUUAAAAGUGGCCAAUUUAGAAUAAAAUAUGGGUCGAGCGAUAAUACUCGAUAAUUAUGAACUAGUACCUUGCAAUGUACCAUAUGACCACGAUAAUAUAAUGUAUAGAGUAUAUAUAUAGUAUAUUAAAAAUAAAUAGAAUUUUAAGUAAUUUGAGGCAAUUUUUUAAUUAUUAUUAUGCGAGUAAUUGAUUAAUUACCGGGUAACAAGACAUUACCUAAUUACCUAAUAAGUGGAUAAAAAUAAAAUAUCCCACCCCUACCCCACAUGGAAACUAGCCACAUUAUCAAGAAAUGACUAAGAGUCAUUCCUUGAUUAGGUGUCAAAUGGAUACAACUUUCCUUUCAUUUGUUUCAAGACUUUGGAUAUCCAAGUCUUUCCAAUUCAAUUCAUUUUGAAGGCUUGGCAUUUAAAAGACAUAGAACGUUUCUUUCUGACCUUAAAAACAAAGUCUCAUUUUCACUUCCAUUACAAAAUACAAAUAGUAGCAAGAUUAAGAUUUUGUUCAAUUUAUUCCAAGAAACGUGAAGGAUCAGUAGAUUACCGUUCUUGAUUUGGACAAUAGGGACUAGCGUCCCAAAAUCUAGACAAGCAGAAACAAUUUCGUCCCAAUUUUAUAGAAUCCAAGCAUCAAUUUCGUUCAAGUUCAAAUAAGCAGAAGCUUCAUUUUGUGCAAAUAAUUCAAGGAACAGGUACACUAAGGUCCUUCCUUUUUUCUUUUGACAUGGUCCAAACUAUACUGAAGAAACUAGCAAACACACCGUUUUCAUAAAUUAUUCGUUCAUAGAAAUAGUAGGGGUGUCUAUAUUCUUGAUUCCCCAUGAAAAUUAUUAUUAUCUUCUGUUUAUGAAAAAAGUUUAUCUAGAAGGAAUUGUGAGAUUAUUACAUAUUUUUCAUGCAUUUCACUUAUUUAUACAUGUGCAGUGACUCAUGAGCAGAUGGUGUUAUAUACACGUAUAUAUGUAAAUAUAUGUAUAUGGGUUAUAGGAAAAGGUUACGGUGUUAUAUACGUACCACCACCUAAUUAGCUGGUAUAUAUUGAUAAUGUUGCCCACAGUGGCCGAGACGAUAUGAUGGGAUGCCCUCAGUGGCUUGAUGAUAUUAUGUACACCCAUACCUAUGCAUAACACGAUAUUUAUAUGCACGUGCAUGACAUUAUAAACGUUUCAGAAUUUACAAAGUUAUUCAGAUUUAAAAAUGUGUUUCCUUAUUUCAUGUUUCAUCUAUGUCUUUUACGUACUAAUUUUCAUGCCUUACAUACUCAGUACAUUUUUCGUACUGACAUCGUAUUUCAUGGGGCCUGCGUUUCAUGCCCGCAGGUGCAGGUAGGCAAGCUGACAGUCCCCCUUCUUAGGAUCCCUGAUCAGUGAGAGUUGGCAUGCUCCACUUGAUCCGGGGCUGCUUUUGAUUUUGGUACGAUACAUUUGUAUGUGUAUAUAUAUAUGUAAGUGAGUAUGACAUGACUCAGUCCCGUCUUUGUACAACUAUGUUUCUAUUAGAGGUCUGUAGACAUUAUGUCUAGUUGGAUUGUAUGUGGCCUUGUCGGCUUUCAGUUUUCGAUGUAUAGUUGUCUAUAGCAGCCUUGCCGGCUCGCCCAUUGUAUUCUGCAUGUAUACGUACAUAUGCCUUGAUGGAAGGUUUCCUUUAUGUAUGUUAUUUUCGUAAUGCAGUAGAUGUUAUUCAAGUUUAUAUCUUAGACGCAUGCUUAUGAAUGUUUGACAUGCAGGAAUCAGGCACCCGUCGCGGCCCUUGGGUCGUGACAACAAAUCUCAAAGAUAUAGUAACAAUAUGCAUCGCCCAUCAAAGUUAUUACAUACGAUUAUUGCACCAUGGCCUUUUUAUGAAUUGGGGGAUUGAUAUCGUGGGUCUGCUACCCCAAGCCAAAGGAAAUGUACAAUUUUUACUAGUACUAACUGAUUAUUUUACCAAGUGGGUAGAAGCAGGUGCCUUUACACAGUUACGGGAAAAAGAAGUUAGAGACUUCAUUUGGCGAAACGCCAUAUGUCAGCUUGGAGUUCCAAAAGAAAUCAUGUGUGAUAACGGCCCCCAAUUCAUAGGUGCAAAAAUCACAGAAUUCUAUCAGAGUUGGCAGAUUAAAAGGAUAACUUCAACACCUUUUCAUCUUAUGGCCAAUGGACAAGCUGAUUCAACAAACAAGGUUAUUAUUAAUAACCUAAAGAAAAGAUUAGAGGAGUCAAAAGGAAAAUAGCUAGAAGUGUUGCCAGGAGUCUUAUGGGCUUACAGCACGACAGCAAAAACAGGUACGGGAGAGACUCCGUUGUCACUUGUGUAUGGUGCUGAAGCCUUAAUUCCAGUUGAAAUAGGUGAAUGAAGUACGAGAUACACCCAAGCAACCGAAGAGUCAAAUGAGGAAGAGAUGCGAAUAAAUCUCAGUUUGCUUAAAGAAAGUAAAGAAACAACCUUGAUAAGGAUGGCAGCGCAUAAGCAAAUUAUUUAGCGAUAUUACUGUCUGAAAGCUCAUCUUAGGUACUUCAAGAUUGGGUACUUCGUACUCACAAUGUUUUUCAAUCAACGAAAACGGCCAAUGCAGGAAAGUUGAGCCAAAUUGGGAAGGGCCUUACAAGAAUCGAGGUAUUGCAGGAAAUGGUGCAUAUGGGUUAGAAACAAUGGACAGCAAACAAAUCCCAUCAAGAUGGAAUGAUGUUCAUUUGAAGAAGUAUUACUGCUGAAAGGGAAGACCCCCGGUCAGGUAUCAUUUAUGCAAGGUUUAAAUUUAUUCUUUUUUAAUUGUACAAACCAUUUCAGAUGAUAGGCACAAAGCUAGCCCACACCAAAUGAUGAUCUUAGACCUGAAAGACACACGGGAUGCAAAAUCAUCCUCGGUCUGGGUUACAAUCUUUCUGAUGGAAAUAGAAAGGGUUAAGCAGUCAUCGUCUAAAAUUAUACUUCCGAGUCCCGUAUGUUUUUCCUUUUCAGGAAAUGGACCACAUGGAAGGAAUAAUCAAGUACUCGAGAUUUUAUACUUCAAAGCUCUAAAACUUGGGGGACUAUAUAUAUACAGAAGGAAAAGAAGACUAGAAAAAUCAGAAUUCAAGUCAAGCCUGAGGCAAUCUACCCAACAAAUCGAAAGUUAAGAGCGAGCAAAUCAAGAGCCAAAAAUUCAAGCUUGAUUCAAAAACCUAUGAUGAAGUAUACGCUCGCAGAUGUAAAUUACAAAAUUUUAUGAGUAUCUAGGUUAAAUGCAAUAUUUAGUCAUGGGUUGCAAGAUAUACCCUUGAAUUUUGUAACAUUUGUUAUAAAGAAAACAGUUAUGAACGAGUUGUAGAUGUUAUUCGAAUACAUGUAAAGUAUACAAUUUGAAAGUUCAAGAAUACAAAACUUCCUCAAGUUAUUCUAGGAAAUAUGUAUGUUCCUACUUUUUCUUUCGUAUAUUUACACCAAUAUGAAGUUGAGACGUCAUCUUCAUUUAGUGUAAUUUAUAAAAGGGCCUUCUUUUAUAAUUCUUGCUUGUUCAAAAAGUCACAAAGCAUUGAAGCAUUUUUAUGCAAAGAUAAAUUACAAAGGGUGAAACAAAAACCCAAACAUUAAAAUAGACAGAAAAUAAAGCCAAAAAAUUUAUAUAUCAAGCUUUGCAAACAUAAGGAAAACAUUUGUCUUCAAACCCCGAAAAAAGAUAAGGCUAAACCAAUAAUAGAGUAGAACAAAAAGUCGGAAGAUAAUUUUAUAUAAAUUUGGUUAAAACUAAAUAUAAAAACUUUGAUUCUAAACCCCAAAACAAACCAGGGGUAAAACUUCCAAACAUUCCAUUAAUAAAAAAACAGCAAACUUUUCAAUCAAACUUUCGCUAUGGAGCAGGUUCUGAACCAGUAUUAUCAGAAGGGUUCAAGAUGGCAUCAUUAGCAGCAGAAGGUUCAACUUGAGCAUAAGGGGUUUGAACAACAGCUUCACCAGGAGUAAAUUCAUCACCCACGGGAAUGUCAAUCUCAGGUGAAGAAAAGUUGACUCUGCUGAUUUUUCUCAAUGGUUUUUUUAGUUUUUGCAAUUUCAGCAGCUAAGUCAAAGCCUUCCUGGCUUGCCUCCAUUAAUGUUUUAAGGCGAGUGUCCAAGAAAGCCGAACUAACAUAAACAGUAGCUUUAUCCUCAAGGGCUUCAUAAUCCCUAUCCCACUGCUCAAUGUUGGCAAUUAGCUUUUCCUUUUAAGUCAAAGCAACACCAUAAGAAUCUUGUAAGGGGGUGAGUGACCUCUCUAAGAACUGAACCUUGUCAAAAGAAACACGAAGAUCUUCUUGAGUUUCGGUGAGCAUUUGAACAAGCUCCCCGGCAUAAACUUCCUUUUGGUUCAACAGUUCUUUCAAACCUCGAAGCUCUUCAAUAGCUUUGGAAAGUUGCUCGUCAAACAAAGAUCUGAGGAGGACUUUAUCUUUGCCCACUUGACUAGAAGAGGCCUUUUCAACUGCCAACUCUGUUGCCAUUAUCUUCACUUGUUGCUCCAGGAUACACUUCUCCUUAUCUAAAACUUUUUUCUCAAGCUCAAGGCCAUCAAAUUGUUUUUUCCAGUUGUCCGCUUUGGUGCGAUAUUCAUUCAUUAAUUGCUCAGUAUGGACGAUCCUCUUCAUUAUCUUCAUGCCAAUUAGGUUGAUCUACACGAGGAAAAAGAAAGUGUGACUACCAAAUACAACUGAAAAGAAAGUCACAUGCAAAAUGAAAAGCUAAGGUUUGUACCUUUAAAGAUGAAUGAACAAUUUUAUUCAUUCACGUUAAAGAGUUGUGGCUCUCCAAUUUGGACUACUCAACUGGGCCAAUCAAUGAUUUUAACCACACAUCGGCCUGGCCAGAUUUCAACAGAAGAUUACCAUCCUCACAAACUUUGAUGGUAACUAUUUUCAUUAUCCUACUGUUGCUGGAAGAACUAACUUCAACAUGGGAAGUUUUAGUAGUAGGGACAGUUGAGGGGGUCAAAACAGCCACGAGCGGAGUAAUAGCAGCAGCAUUAGGUGCGGGGAAUUGAGGAUCAAUUGGAACAGAUACUGGAAAAGAGGCAAAAGGCGCUUCCUCAAAAACAAAGCCAAAAUCUUCAUUAUCAAACCCAUGAGAAAAAAUUGUUUUGUAGAGUCACGGGGUGCGGCAGGCAUCUCUUCAUCAAAGCUCACCAAAAUGGGACUUUCAGGCUCGUGCACGGGAACUGAACUUGGAAGAGGAGUGACUUCAUCAUCCGAAAUAACACAUCUCCUAGCUCGAGACUUGCGAACUAACGAGCCCACCUCUUGAUCCUCUUCACCCACGGAAGUGGGUGCCUUAUCAGCUUUUCUCUUGGACGAGGAACGCAAAAUCAUCUCUUGAGCCAUAGAUAGAGAAAGUCUUGAAGCAGCAAUAGAUGCGGCAGUAACACCCCGAAUGGAAAACCCUAACAAAGAAAAAGUUAGAAAACUUUCAAGUAAAUAUGAAAGCGCGGUAGAAAAUUGAAAGGAAAAAUACCACGAGUCUUCACUUUCCAGCCAAACCUAUUAGAAAGAUACUUCCAAGACCUUCAUUCCAUAGUAACAACAGUCAACAAUUUUCCUACCCAACAACAGAAGUCUGGAAUCUCCUCAACAACUUCCUUAGUUGCUGAAAAAAGGAAAAAUAUAUAGUCACGAAGUUGUAAGUUCAUGUUUCUUCAAUAAAAAAAAGAAGAAGAAAGUUUAAAAAGGAAAAAAUUACGUGCAAAGUUCCAUUUUUCUGGAAAGGAAUAUUCUCAUCACCUGCUUAACCUUUUGUGGGACCAGCAACAGAACGGACAUACUAGCCACGAUCCUUGUCAUUUUCAGGGCUAACUGAAAUCCUCUUACUCCUAGCCAUGAGAGUAAAUACCCAAAAACGAAACAACUUGGGGGAGUAUAGAUGAAUCAAGUGAUAAAAGGUAAAGGGUAAAGAGGCCAAAUUCGACAAGUAUCUUAAGCAUGCCACAACUCUCCAUACAAUAGGACCAAUCUGUCGUAAGCAAACAUUAAAGAAGCAACAAAAUUCUAUAAUGACUGGAUCAAUAGGUGGUCUGAAGCCUAAUGUAAAGGGAUAUGUAUAAACAAAGGAAUAGCCUGCUUUAUAUGUAGUGAUCCUUCGAUUUGCAUUAGGAACUAUAAUUGGGAAAUCAUAUUUCCAAUGGCAUUCACUUCGCACAAGAGAAAUCAAACCCUCAGUAAUCUGGGAAGGGUAAACAUCGGCACGAUCAUGAGAAGUCAUAGGUGUAACUUGAUUUGUAAUUGAUUCUCAAUCAGUAGAAAAAGAAAGUUCAGUAGGAACAAUCUCAUCAACAGUUAGUUCUCAAAGAGGUUCACCAGAAUCCCUACUUCUAACAGAAGAUCUAUGAGAAGAAGAAGCCCUAGUUCAAGAAGACGAAUAAGUAGUAACACUAUGUUGAGAAGAAGAACCACGAAUAGAUACAGACCCUAAACUACGUAAUCUUGUACCUUUUCUUCUUCUGAUUGGAGCAGAUGAAUGGGGGAGUUCAUCUACUAUAACUACUCUACGAGGAUCGGGAUUUGGAGAAGACAUGGUUGUAUAAGAAAAUAAUAUGACCUGACGAACAAGAACUAUUAUGAAAUAAGAAUACUGUAGAUUGAAGGUUUUUUGUGAAAACAAAGGUAUAAUGAGGUCUUUAUACAAAAAAGCAACUGUCAUACGAAGGGUUCAUGAUGGAAACGUCAUAAUGAAAACAGUCACUUCGUGACUGAUGCAACCGCAGAAAAGCCCUAAAAACAGCUGAGGAGUUGCAAAUCCAAUCAAUGUAUGUCACAUAUCACAAACAUUAAAUGGAAGUGACAUACGAUGCGUUAGUUCUGAAUAAGACAUAAUAAUACAAGAGAAACGACGGCAAAAAAUUCCUGCCAUAAAGGUCAUUCACUUCCCAAAUAUUCAAUUGCUGAAUAAUUGGUUAGUGAGGGACUAUCUGUAUUGGUAAAAAUAAAUAUUGCACAUGGCUUUAUAUGAGUGGAUGAUGUGGCAAGACACGCGGAUCAUUAAGAAAACGACAGCUGGAGAGAUGCAUUAAAAGUGGCACGAGUCGUGAUAGGUACGAGCAAAUCACCCACGGGAUAAAAAGGUAUGGUCGCUUGAGUCUGAAUUGCUAUAUAAAGUGACACCGACAUAAUGAAUCAAGACAAUAAAGAAGGAAGAUUCAUGAAUUGCCAAUUAAUGCGCAUGAAUUACCAUAGGCGUUACAGAAUCUUCAUAAACAAUUACGAUUGCAAAUUAUAAUCAUUAAUGUCAUUAAUAUUCAUAAUGACUCAGUUAUAAAAGGGAAGAGACGUUGUACUUAUAGAUUCCUAUAUAAGGGAAGGGGAUUUCACUUGUAAAGACAUGUUCUGAUUAUUAUUGGAAUACAAUUACUUUCUUUUGCUUUCUAUUGAUUACUUUGCUAUUAUAUUUUGUGAGCAUGUGAUUUUUACCCUAUUCAAAAUACUCCUACAAAAUUAAAAAAUUAUAGAUUUUUUCCUAAUUAUUUACAAUUUUAUAGGAUUUUUGUAGGAUUUUAUUAAUUGUUUGCAUUUUUUGUGCACAUUUAAGUUUUAUUAUUAAUCAUGAAAAUGCCCCAAAAAUAUCAAAACAUCAUGCAUUGCAUAUUAGACUUUGUGUUCAUAUUUUAGGAUUAAUUAGUUAAUUAAUUACUUUAUCAAAAUGAAAAAUCACAAAAAUUUGUUCAUUUUACAUUUUUAUCCUUAAUGCUAAAUUACUAAUUUUCUCUUCUUUAAUUUAAGAUCAAUUAAUUUUUGUAAAUAUUAUAAUUAGUUAAUUAGCUUAAUCUUUACAAAUUAAAUUAAUUUAGGAUUUUAAUUAAUUAAAGAAAAAGAAAACAAAGAGAAAAAGAAAAAUGGAAAAAGAUUUUAUCUUAGUGUAUUGGGUCAAUUUCAUUUAGCCAAAAAACAAUUCCCAAUUCCUCCCUAUCCCAAUCCCAUAAAACCAGUCCAAUUCCCUUUAGCCCCAAAACGACUCCGUAUUAACCCUUCCCUAAUCCCAGCCGUGGAUCAUCUUGAAUCUAACGACUGGGAACUAAUCGUUCUUUUAAUAUAAAAGUGUCCGAAAUCAGAGACCUCCCCCCCAUAUCGACCUCUCUCAUUCCAUCUCUAUACUCUCAAACCCCAAACCCUAGCCGCCCCCUUAUACCAUGUUGGCUUCGCUGCCCGAAAAUUGCCUUACGGCGGCGGAGCAACACCAAACAACCUCAAAUUAACACCCUGUAAUCCUGUUCCCCUCCCAAACACUAUCCUACUAUCAAUUUCCCCAAAAUCACCACCCAAAUCCGCUAAUUUCAGAUCUGAAAUCUAAACCUAAAAACCCUAAAUCUCCCAAAUAGCCCCAAACUCACACCAUAGGACCCUCAACCUCCCCUCACCACUAUCCUACCCUGGAUUCCCCAAAAAUCCCCCCCAAAGUUCUCGAAUCUUAAAUCUACGAAGAACCAGAAAUCCUGAUUCUAUUUUUCUUUCCUUUUUCGAGUUUCUUUGGAUUGCUUCCAGACUCGACUUAGUUGAAAGACCAUGCUAAUCAAUCGUUCUCAACAAGAACGGUUGGUUAACAUAUUUUUUAGCUAUAUCGAUGAUUUUCCGAACUGCCAGACUCAUCUUGGUAUUUUCUUUUACCCUUUUUCCUUGUUUCUUUAUUUUUGUUUCCUUAAUUUCUGCAUGUGAAUAAUCCUGAGUAAUUUAGUUCGUUUUUGUACAAGUUAUUUAGUUCACUGUUUAGGCUAGUACUAAAAUUGUUCAAAGCAUGUUUAACUAUUAGAAAAUUAUUUUAGUUGCGUAGUUUAUUUAAUUCGAUCACAAUGUAGGUUAAUUAGGUUAAUUAUUAGGUUUCAUUAGAUUACCAUGCUUGUUUCCUUGUAUGGUUACUGUGUUCUUGCCAUCUGUGUUUGUUUAAAUCCAGUUCUUGUUUAGGGUUAAUUAGAUAAGCACUUUUAUUUACUGAUUAGGUUAAUUUUUAGGUUUAAAUAGUAUCAUCUUGAUUCUGUUUGGCAUUUUUUAUUUGGAUUUUGAUCUCAUUUGGCUCUACCUCUAUUUACCCUUAUUUAUAACUCACAGGAAACUUGUAGGGUCCUAAUUAAACUGAAAGGAAAACUUAGGAGGAUUUCAGAACUUUAGAAAACAAAUAUCUAAAAGAAGAAAGUUCUAGAAGUGUACCAGCUAUCUAAAAUUGGUUUUAAAAGAUGCUAAAAAAUGGACAGUUGGACAUUAUUCUCUGUCAAUAUGUUGUACUAUCCAAAGAAUUUAGGGUAGAAUAUUCUUUGGAUUCUUUUUUGAAUAUACACUAUAAAAAGAAGGCCUUUCACUCAUUCUCGGGGGAGGUUUUCAGCAUUUUCUAUACCUAAAAAACUUUCAGAAUACAAGGAACAAAUCCCUGAAAUUUUUCUGGAAAAACUUCAGUCGGUAGAUUUCUAGGUUAUUUUCCGGUACUCUGAUUUUCUGGAAAUUUUGAAGUGCUGGUUCUUGGUUUUUUCUGGGCUGCCUUUAUACUGUUGAUGUGCUAUUUGUUCUUACUGGUUAUCUCCUGCAUAGUUUCAAUUAGAGGUUCAUUGUGUGUCACUUUGAUUCUUGAUGUUAUAGGUAUGUAGUUCCUUUAUCUAAAAUACUUCAUUGGUUCAUAAAUGAGAUAUGGUGUUCAAUUACAAAAAUGUUGAUGCUUCUGCCUAUAGUUUUUCUAUACUUGUUUCAAGCUCAUUUUAUUUUUCUCCUCUAAAAUUCCAAACCAAUUGCAUUCUUGUAAAAAAUGACUCUUGCCAUAUUUUGUGUAUGAAUCAUGCCUCAUGAGUUAUGCCAAGUUGAUCAUUUCGUCAAUAUUAGCUAUUGCUUACUAUCUUGUAGUCAUGUGAUGCUAAAUAGACUUCCUUUGUGAUGAGACUUUCAUCUUUUUUCUGAUUGUAUGUGAGAGGAAAACCUAAGAACUAUUUGGGAGCUGGAAUAGAAGGCUGAUUUGCAAAGACAGCUUUGUAGCUGGUUUUUUUUACAAUCUGAAGUUUAUUAAAGAGUUCAUAACAAAGGAAAAGCUCAAAACCAUGUUGAAACAUUAUUUGAAAAGUUUUCUUUAGCUGUAUCUAAGAUGUAUUGUAAUUUAAAUCUAUGGACUAUCCACUAACAAACUGAUCUUUGCAUAAAGUUAGUAUGAAGUAGAUUGUAAUAUUUUUCUUUAAGUUGAUUACUGUGAUUGAUAGUUGGGGUAAAGUAUCUUAGUAAAGCUUAUGUUCAAGUAGUCCACUAUUAUAAAUGUAACGUACUUUCUCAGAAUAGUUCGAAUGGGGGCCAUAAGAGUUGGGCCAGACUUGCAACAAGGCCCAAUUUGGGAAUCACCUGAUCACGUAUGGGCACAGGCAGAUGGGUCUGGGCAUUAAACCCAAUACUUUGACCCUCAAUUAUAAGCAUCCCUUGUGAGCUAUAGUAUAAAAUGCAUUUCCUUUAUGUAUGACAAAUCAUGUGUAGUGUAAUUAAUCUCAUAACUUGAAUUGCAUUUUGAUUUUUAGAUUUUGAUUUCCUUACAUAAAAGUGAAUUGAUUUACAAUUUUUUUUGACAAAUGUGUAUAUCAUGUAAGUUUUGUCUACCUUAAAUGCAAAGGUGGAUAGACCCAUCUAGUAAAUAUUUGUGACUGGGCCCACCUAAUGUAAGACAAAUGUGAGCCAGCCACGGUUUAAGACCGAACUGGGCAAGGGCCGUUGAGUUUCUUUACUCAUGGGCUAAUUUCUGAGCCCAAUGCAGCUUCGACGAUGAUUUGUCCCUAACCAAAUAACUAAUGGGCUACUACUGGCCCAACUUCCUUAUCAAAAAUGAUUAAAGGCUAAACAUAUCUACCCCAAGCAUAUAUACGAUUAGCAAUCUUGAAUAAAUUGAGGUGUGCCAUCCACAAAUGAAUCCUAUAAUCUAUGGCCCUCAUAUUAAUAUCAAAAAAAAUAUGGAAAAGACUUAGAACAUUCAUAACUAGUGUAGAAAAUAGUUUGAACAUUCGUAGUUUGCUUUAGGCACGUUAAUAAUAAAGUUAUCAUAGCUACGGGUACGGUUCCCAUGACAUAGUUUGUGAUAUAUAAUUUCCAAAUCCGGGGAUAUAUUUAUGUGACCCGGCUACAACUUCUAAUAACUUUAAUAAAUUAAACAUAUUGUAGAUCGUGGGUAUGGUUCCCGUGACAUGAUUAAGAAUGUGUAUCAAACAAACAAGUGUACGACAAUCGUAACUUGUUCAAGAAAUAAUUCUAUAAAUCCUAAAAAUCGAUUAAAUUAAUUAAAAGCGGUUAUAAAGUUAAAAAUGUACACUAGGUUAAAAACAUGUAGUAAAUCAGAUAAUUAAGCUAAUAUUAUUAGUUAAGCGACCGUGCUCGAACCACAGAACCCGGGAAUGCCUAACACCUUCUCCUGGGUUAACAGAAAUCCUUACUUAGAAUUUUCGGUUUCGUAGACUUUUAAAUAAAGUCGAUUUUCCUCGAUUUGGGAUUUAAAAUAAACCGGUGACUUGGGACACCAUAAACACACUAUUCCAAGGGGCGACUCUAAUUAAAUAAUAUAAUCUCAUUUUGAUUUAUGUCACUUUAAUUAAAAAACUCCCUUAUAUCCCCCUCGGGCGGGUAAAAAGGAGGUGUGAUAGCUCUGGCGACUCUGCUGGGAAUGAAAACCCAGAACUUCCGGUUCAGGGUUCAAGAAUUCGAGCUUAGAAUAACUUUUAUAAUUGGCUUUUAUUUAUCAUCUAAUAUUAAUUACAUGUUUGGGUCUAAUGUGCUAAAUGCCGCUUUUUACCGCUUUGAUAUUAUUUGAACUGUAUAUAAACUGCUGCGAACCCCCUUCUUCUAAUCUUCUGGGAAGUGCACGCUGGCGUGACUUCUUUUCUGUUAGUGUCAUAUCCUAAUUUAGAACGAGGAUCGGAUCAGUUAAAAAUCGGAUGGUCUUUUAGUUCCCGGUACAUAGCCUUCCCCCCCCCCCGACUCGAGUUGUCCGCUCGGGUAAGCCAGGUCUAGAAUAAUACACCCAGGUUUUAAACCUAGAAUAAUGCAGCCUCAUACUGGAUCCUUAAUAGGAACGCUUGUUUGCAUCAUGUGCAUUUGACUUUGGGGACUCAACGCAAGGGUUGGGUCCGUCUAGGACAGGUGUACCCAAAAAAUCAAAAGACCAUCCUGAUGCAUUCUUACGUGCUACUUGUAUAAUUAUUUGCUUCGGUUUGCAUGUUGACCGGUUUCUAGAAUAGGGAGAAAAAAAUUGAAAAAAUCAAACUGAGGUAUGAGAGAGAUAAUUACCCGCCUUUGAAAGCCUGGUAUCCAAAAUAUACCGAAACUCUGCCAAAAUUUUGAAAAAGGAGAAAAGAAAAAGAAAGAAAACAAGGGAAAAUUGUUUCAAAAUACUUCAUGUUUUCUAUUACGUCAAAACUGACCGAACUACGCAGGUUUGAUUCUCACCAGAUGUGGGAUACAUAGGCAACCCUCAUCGGGUCCAGCCCCAUUUUUGCAAAAAUAACCCAAUUUUUUUGAAAAUGUCAUCUUGGUUGUCAUAAAUAAAGUGGGUGAUUCCGUUUUUGUCUGAAUAGCCGAACGUGUCGACGGGGCGCCGGAAGGCCAUUUUUGCAAGAAUAGCCACCGACAGUUUCUUUGCCAAUUUUUGGCCAUCUAGCAAAUACAGCCCUAAAAUCUUCCCUUUCUGAAUUGCUGAAGGGCUAUAUUUGCAAAAAUAGCCGUGUUUAUUUGAAUUUUGCAAAAUGACCCCUUUUUUAUCAUCUUUAAUAAAAUUCACUUUGUUUUUAACCAAUCACCUUAAUCUAAAUAUGUAGAAUGAGAACGAGUCAACUUACCAAUGAAGGUGAUGACCAAGAUCCCGUUGGAACUACAUAUGUGGUGGGCAGAUUUGGGCAAGAAAGGACAAGACAUGGUCAACCAUUACUUGGGGGCGCUCACCAGAUUAUUAAAUAUCAGGCCUAGGAGGGACAUAAUAAAAGCACUGGUGACAUUUGUUGACCCAGCUCACAACGUUCUGCAUUUCUCGGACUUCGAACUCACACCUACUUUGGAAGAGAUAGCGGGUUAUGCUGGGAGCACCGAGGGACUAAGACAUAAAUACCUGGUCGCUCCAAGGUCCGUCACCCCUCACAAGUUUCUGGAUUUGCUAAAAAUAAGCAGGCAAGUCCAUUAUGAAGAUUUGGUGGGAGGGUUUUCCACUCUACACUUCAUAUGCCAGCAGUAUGGACAUAUAAGGGGAUUUGAAAACCCGGAAAGCAGAAUCUGUAAUAAAGGGAACCGACCAAAGUGGGAAGAGCAUAGAUGCUUCACUUUCAUGGUGGAAUUCUUAGGUCUUCUAGUGUUUCCAAUGACGGAUGGGAAUAUUGAUUUACGGGUAGCCGGAGUCGUCAAUACUUUGAUUACUAAUGCCAAGAGCACCCCCGCACCUAUGAUAAUAUCAAAAAUAUUUUGAGCUCUCACAGCUUGCAAAGCCGGGGUAGAUUUUUUCGAAAGGUGCAAUUUGUUAUUAAAAAUGUGGAUGAUUGAGCAUCUGUGUCAUCGUCCUCGGUACAUGAAUUAUAGAUCUACGGGGAAAAGCUGCAUAGAGAAGUUUGGUACAAGGGUCAAUGGGUUCAAGAUGCUAGAAAGGGUCGUAGAUUGGAUAUCCUGUCUUUGCUCCAUAACUACAGAUCAGAUAGAAUGGGCGUUGGGUUGGCUUCCUGUUAAUGAGAUUGUAUACAUGUCUGCCACCGAUCCUCACUUCCACCUAAUGGGUCUCAGAAAUAUCCAACAUUAUGCCCCGUGUCGGGUUUUGAGACAGCUGUGAAUAUGCCAAAUAGUCCCCAAGGACGGAGACCUUAGCAUUCAUGUAGUCGAGAUCUGCUCUGAUGGCCAAUUUCAUGAAGCAGUGGUUUGCCAGGUCUGGAGUAAGUGUCAAUAUUUGACGGUGAACACCCAAGUACGUGAUUUAUCUAAGGUGAAGUCUCGUUCGGUUACCUUGCUUGGUAUAAAAGGAGUGUUGAGUUUGGAAGACCAGCUAAGAGACCCCACCUCCAAGAAUUUGUUGAAGCAUCACAAGAAUAAUGGGAUUGGAUGACCAAAGAAAAUGAAUACAGGGCCACCAUAAUCAAGUUGGAAGGGCAAAUCAGGGAUCUUAAAUUUGAUAGUGGUUUGCAAGCCGUUGCAGAUGAGGGUGAAAAGAAAAGAUUGGCCCAAGAAAAUUAAGCCCUCCGAGCCCAGAUCUAGAAGAUGAAAAUAGCAGCCAAAACCCAGUCAGGAGUGGAACAGAUGAAAAACUUAUAAAAAUUCUUAGGCAGAAAGUAUGUGUCACGACCCAAAACCGACCCGGUCAUGAUGAUGCCUAUCAUGAAACUAGGCCAGCCGACACAACUCCCGAAUCAACCAUUUUCCAAUAAAAGUUAUUUUUAUACCAUUUAUAACUGAAUAAUCUCAUAAUGAAAAUUUAAAAAAAAAAUGCAGAAUAAUUGCACAAGCCCGACAUCGGGGUGUCACUAGUCAUGAGCAUCUACCAAGGUCUGAAUACAACUAAAAUAGUCAAAGUGCACUAAGUACAGUAAUGAAAGUGAGAGGAAGGAAGCAGUGCUGCGAACGUCGUGCAGCCACCUUGCUAACUCUGAUGACUCCGCCUCUAAGAAAUCAACAUCCGCUACCGGGUUUCGAAAUACCUGAAUCUGCACAUGAGGUGCANNNNNNNNNNNNNNNNNNNNNNNNNNNNNNNNNNNNNNNNNNNNNNNNNNNNNNNNNNNNNNNNNNNNNNNNNNNNNNNNNNNNNNNNNNNNNNNNNNNNNNNNNNNNNNNNNNNNNNNNNNNNNNNNNNNNNNNNNNNNNNNNNNNNNNNNNNNNNNNNNNNNNNNNNNNNNNNNNNNNNNNNNNNNNNNNNNNNNNNNNNNNNNNNNNNNNNNNNNNNNNNNNNNNNNNNNNNNNNNNNNNNNNNNNNNNNNNNNNNNNNNNNNNNNNNNNNNNNNNNNNNNNNNNNNNNNNAAUAAAGACUGAGCAGUAGAAAGUAAUGAAUCCACAUUUAUGAUAAACUUGAUUAGCACAAUAGGCUUUCAAAUCAGAAUACAAGUCAAUUGUCUGAUUUAAAAUCUAGCGUUUGGUAAAAAUCAUUCGAAAAUGCUUUCCAACAGUUUCAGUAGGUGUUCAAUACCAUUUAUAAUAAAAGAGAUGAAAACUAUAAUAGGCCCCUCGGGCAAAGCAUAGUUCGUAUACAGCCCCUCGGGCAAAAACAGAAAUUUAUACCCAUUUCAUAACUUAAAACUUCAGUUUGAAUGAUAGUUGUUUAAAGCAUUUGUUCAACAUUUUCAAUAGAUGCUCGAUCUAAAGAUGUAAAUCAACAUAUUCGAUAAAAACACACUUUAAGGAGGAGUGAAAAAAAAACAGUAAGUUCUUAAACAUGCCCCUUAGGCAAAGCAUCACUCAUGUACAUAUAUGUCUAUAGCCCCUCAGGCAAGCCUCUCAAUCACUCGAGACUCAACUCUCAUCAAUCAGCGCUCACACUCAGCACUCACACUCAAUAGGUACCAUAUAGUAACCGUUACGGCGUGUAGCCCGAUCCAUAUAUCGCUGCGGCAUGCAGCCCGAUCCAUAUAUAUAGGCAACUGUGCUCACCGGGGGUGUACAGACUCCAGAGGGGCUCCUACAGCCCAAGCGCUAUAUUGCUGCGGCGUGCAGCCCGAUCCAUAUACAUAUCGCAGCGCCGUGCAGCCCGAUACAUAUAUAUAUAUAUAUAUAUUUAUAUAUAUAUAUAUAUAUAUAUUGCUAUGGCGUGCAGCCCGAUCCAUAGAUAUAUAAUCCUCACAACCAGGCCCUCGGCCUCUCUCAGUCAUUAACCUCACAAUCAUACCCUCGGUCUAUCUCAGUCAUCAACCUCACAAUCAGACCCUCAGUCUAUCUCAGUCAUCAACCCCACGAUCACUCGGGCCAUCAGUAAAACAGGUAACUCAGUCCAAAAAUUUUCACAUUUUAAGAAGUAAAGUGAUUAAACCAGAUUUAAACAAUAAACAGGUAAAACAUGACUAAGGAUAUGCUUUCAAAACAAAUAGAGUGAAGAAAAAUAAUGAAAGUGCCCCUAUGGGUCUAAACAGGUCGGCACAAGGCCCUAAACAUGGCGUACAACCCAAAAUAUAAUAUCAAUCUCUAAAAUAUGGAAUAUCAUAAGAUUUCAAAUCAAAUACCCGAGUUAACAGUCGUACGAGAUGGACCAAGUCUUAAUCCCCAACGGUGCAUGACUCCACGCUCGUCAUCUAGCGUGUGUGUCACCUCAAAGUAGCACAACGAUGUGAAAUCCGUGGGUUCAAACCCUUAGAAUAGCAUUUGCAAUCAUUACUUACCUCGAACCGGUCAAAUCUCUUGCCCGCGAUGCCUUUGCCUCUCGAAUCAGCCUCCACUUGCAUCGAAUCUAUCCAAAAUUAGAACGAGGGCAUAAAAAUAUGCUAAGGGAACGAAGCCCAAGCGAAAAUAAUCAAAAUACAACAUAAAUCCCAAAAUUACCAAAACCCAACCCCGGGUACACGUCUCGAAAUUCGAUAAUUUUACAUCAAUAGAUUUCUUAUCUCCCCACGAGUUCAUACAUAUCAAAAGUUCUGAAAUCCGACCUUAAAUGGUCCUUCAAAUCCCCAAGCAAAGGUCUAAGUUCCCAAGCCCUAGUUUUCCUAGUUUUCACCCUUAAUUCCAAUUCUUUCAAGCUCUAAUAAGUGUAAUAGUAACAUAGGAACGAAGUUUAAGCCCAAAUUCCUUACCUCAACGAAUUUCCCUUGAAAUCCCUCUUUCAAAUCGUCCAAAAAGACCGAGAUAAAAAUGGUGAAAUUAGCUAAAAUUCGCGAAGGCCACAAUUUAUAUCUUUUGCCCAGAUAUUUUCGCAUUUGCGGCCCAAUACCCGCUUCUGUAGUACAACAAUUGCGGUCAUUCAUCCGCUUCUGUGGAAAUCACUUACCCGACCAAAACUCGCAUAUAUGAUCCAUCUUCCGCACCUGCGCCUUCGCAGGUGUGGUCCAUCAACUGCAUUUGCGGUCCCUACCUUCCCAGGCAUUUCCGCUUCUACGACCUCCCUUAUCGCACCUGCAGCAUCGCACCUGCGGUCCCCAAUCCAUAGGUGUGGAAAUACCAGAAGCAGCAAAUCCAGCAGCUGCAACAAGGUUUCAUACUUCCCGUCAACCAUCCGAAAUUACCCCAAGGCCCCCGAGACCUCAACCAAAAACACAAACAUAUCCUAAUACAUUAUUCGAACUUGUACCAAUAUUCAAAAUACCUCAAACAAUAUCAAAUCAAUCAAAACACGUCGGAUUCAAGCCAAACUUUCUAAAAUCUUCCAAAUUCCGCUUUUGAUCAAAAACCCAACCAAACCAUGUCCGAAUGACCUAAAAUUUUGCACAAACAUCCCAAAUGACACAACAAAACUAUUGCAACUUCCGGAAUUCUAUUCCGACCCCUAUAUCAAAAUCUCACCUAUCAACCGGAAAACGCCAAAAUCUCAAUUUCGCCAAUUCAAGCCUAAACCUUCCACGGACUUCCAAAAUGAAUUUUGAUCAUGCUCCUAAGUCCCAAAUCACCUAACGAAGCUAACCAAAUCGCAAAAAUUCCAAUCCGAGAUCAUAUGCUAACAAGUCAAACCUUUCAAAUUUCAAGCUUCAAAUUGAGAAUUGUUCUUCCAAAUUCAUUCCGAUUACCCUGAAACCAAAACCAACAAUUUACGUAGGUUAUAAUACAUCACACGGGACAAGUCAUGCCCUAUAAAUAGAGAACAAAGUGCAAAAGCUCAAAACGACUAGGCGGGUCAUUACAGUAUGUGUCUAUGGGGUCAAUUUGGAAAAGACUGAGGUUGAACUAGCAAAGGCCCGGGCAAAGUUGGCAAAGAAUGCAGAAGGACGGGUAGAGUUUAUUUAGCAAUUAAAAGGGAAAUAUGAUAGAGAAGUCGCAAAUAUAAAGAAAAAGCUAGCUACCAUCGAGAAUGAAUGGCUAAGCAGACAAAGAACUUUAAGACAGAGAGGGAACGUUGUUAUGCAUUGAUGUCUCGACUAGAAGAGGACAUGCAAUAGUUGCAGGAGAAAAGCCAUAAUGAUACCCAAGUUUUGGAAGAUAGAUCUCAACAAAUUGGGCGCCUGCUCCAAGAGAAAGGCAUCAUUAGAGAAAGGAUUAGAGGGAUUGCUGAAUUAAUCGUCAUGAAAUGCCAUGAGUGUGAGGAUAUGACUAGAUCCACUUUCUUCACCGCAAUGAUGACUUUUGUUCGCCAGAUAAUGGAUGACCUAGAUCGUCUCCAAGGAGAUCUUGCCCAAAGGCCCGCGGUGAGACCGACUGAUGUCCCGCGGGCCCCUAGAGUAGUUUUGGAGGUACUUAUGUUUUCUUGAUUUUUCUUUUCGAGUCUGUAAUUCAUUUUCCUUUUAGAGUCUAUUUUUGUUUUUCAGUUCUUAGGUAUGUAUGAUGGAGUUUUUGUAAUUGAGAAAAAAUUAGAAGUUUUGAUUUUAAUGAAAUUUGAAAAAAAAAAAAAUUGUUUCUUUCUUUUAUUUCGCAUUUAUCCCCUGAACUACGUGAUGAUCUGAUUCACGUGACAUUGUGAUACGUAGGCAAUCCCCAUCGGAUCCGAUCAUAGUUUUAAAUAACUCAAAUAAGAGAGAAUAUGACGAAAAAAGGACAUAAUAAAAAGAGAGAAAAAAAGAAUAAGAGAGAAAGCAAUGCAAAAAAGAGAGUGCAAAAAAGAGAGCAAAUAAUGAAAAGAGCAAAAGAAAAUAAAAAGAAUCAAAGAUCUGGAAGGUCACAAAGGACGGGAUGAGACAUGCAACUAUUACAACGCAUGUAGAAAAACAUUUAACUAUCUAGUUGCAUUGCAUUCCGCAACAUGCGAUGCCCCAUGUGUUAUUUGUCUCAAACUAACCAGUUUGUUGUGUAUACUGUUGAGAGCAUGUUCUGUUUUUUAAGGUGGUUGGUUUUGUGGUAACCUGGCUUCGCACCCCUACUUUACAAGAUCCAAAGGAAGUGUCGAAAUGACGACAGAGAGUCAUCUACCAAUAAUUUCCCCCUCAGAUGAUAGCCCGUUGUCGGUUAUCCCAAUGUCAGAGUCAGCAACUGUUGAGGAGAACAGCGUACUGCGCCUCCGCAUGUUGGAAAUGUGGGACUCUUGGUCUAACGGUAGAGAGCCUCCUAGUGCAAUACUUUGUUUUCCCAAGCUGAUUCCCAGAACAAGUGGAACCUCCAACAUCCCUAUAAACUACCCGGCCACCCCAUUCGGAUACCCCACUAUGUCAACCCAUUUUGCCGAAACGCCUUCUAAGGUUCUCUCCUAGGCAAUGAUUUCAGGAGUGGCUUCAACAUAUUCACCGCACCACCAACCUCGGCUACCACACAUCCAACAUUACCCAGGCCAAGUUUGGAGCCGUCAUACUUCACUUUCCAAAUACCACCAUUUCCAUCGGACAUGGCUCAUGUCACCCCAAACUCCUACCCUUAACAACCUCGGUAUGAGUUUACCACGGGACAAGAGAGAACUGUAAAGAAUCCCGAGCUAGAAGAGAUCACUCAAAAAAUGAAAAGCAUAGAAUAAAGUCUCAAGAACAUACUAGGCCUACGUGGCCAGAAGAGUGUCUCCUAUGUUGACUUAUGCAUGUUCCCGCACGUUCAUCUGCCCAUCGGUUUCAAGACUCCCAAGUAUGUAAAGUAUGACGGACAUGGAGACCCCAUAGCCCACUUGAAAAGGUAUUGCAAUCAGUUAAGAGGAGCGGGCGGAAAAGAAGAACUUUUGAUAGCUUACUUCGGGGAGAGUUUAGCUUGUAUCACGUCCGAAUGGUAUAUGGAUCAAGAUAUCUCCCUCUGGCACAUAUGGGAUGACUCGGCCCGACGCUUUGUCAGACAGUUCCAGUACAAUGUCGACAUAGCUCCAGAUCGAAACUCUUUAUCCAAUUUCAAAAAGAAGUCCUUAGAGAGCUUCUGAGAGUAUGCCAUCAAGUGGCGUGAACAAGCUGCUAGGGUGAAACCCCCAAUGGAUGAGACCGAGAUGGUCAGUGUCUUCCUGCAAGCCCAAGAGGCUGAUUACUGUAACACAUCCUUUUUCUACCCUGAAGGGGGUAUAAGAGAGUUUUUUCAAUUAAAGUGACAAUAAUCGAAACGGGAUUAUUUAUUCAAGUUUAGAGUCACCACUUGGGAUAAUUUAUGGUGUCCUAAGUCACCGGUUUAAAGUCCUGAAUCGAGGAAGUUUUACUCUAUUUUAUAGUCCGCGAAAUACAUAAAUAUGGGUAAGGAAUUAUGUUAACCCGGGAGAAGGUAUUAGACAUUCCCGGGUUUUGUGGUUUUAGAAAUUAUAUAUCACAACUAAGUCACGGGAACCAUACUCGUAGCCAUGAUAAUUUUAUUAUAUCACGCCUAAAGCAAACUAUGAAGGUUCAUGCUUACUACUUGAAACAAAUUCGAAAAUUGUUGGAACGCCACGAAUUAUAGCAAAGGCUUGGAAAGUUAUGCAUGCUUUUAACGAUUCUGAAAUAUUGGGCCAACAGGAAACCUAUUAUGUUAAGGCCUUAAAAAUAAUAUUACUGAUUUAAUUAGGCCCAAAACUGAGCCCAUGAAGCGGAAGAGACCCAGAGACCAUGCCAGGUCCAAUCUUGACCAGGCCAUCUCAUUUGGGCUAAAAUCAAGCCUAUUUAUUUUAAUAGGAAAAGUUUAGCAUGCUAAAGUCCUUGCUGAAAUUCAUCCUCUGCUAAUAUACAAAUAUCUACACAAUUAUUCAAUUGAAAAAGAAUAUGCAACACUACUUUUACUGAUUAAUCACGUUAACAUCACAUGUAUAGGCGUUUUUAUCAAUACUGAAUCCUAAGAUAACAAAUCCACACAUUAUUUAGCAGUUGGACAAUGAUUUUCCUUUUUUGAAAAUUUAUGAACUUGGACCUUAGACUUACACCAUGGCCAGCAUAAUAUUCAUGCUCUUUCAAUGAAAUAGAUAACAGAAAAAGGCUAAACCAUUAUACAAUCUUCUUGGAUUUCCACGUAGAUCCAACUCAUGAAAAAUAAGCUACUUAAAGCAUUCAAUUCUGAAUGUCCCAAUAUCUUUAUACAUCAUAUCUAUUUACAUGGAAAUUCCAUAUUUAUCUAGCAGUAACCACAAACAAUGAACCAUUGACUAACAACUCAUAAUAAAAAAAUGAACAAAACUCGAUCUAUGGAAUAAUAGACAGACUCAGUCUGAACUAUCAAACAAAUACAUUAAGGACUACAAUUGAAAAUCUAGGCAAUAGCCUUUCAUAAGGCUGCCAGCUUUUCCAUAUAUAAGCAGAAAAUUUGUUUCAACUUUGAACUCACAUGGAUAUGACCAUGUCAAGAUCAGAUCCACCAAGAGCAUGGCUACACACAUGUAGACAACUAUGUUAUCACACAAACUCAGCUAACAAAACAGGAAUAUUAGACAAGAAUGAACAAAUGGAAAGAAUAUAUGUAACCUAAAACACAACAUAUAACAAAUAUUGUAUUUAACACACAAGAAACAUGUUUUCAUAGCAUGAGAAACAUUGAAUUAACAAAGAGUUACAUGGUCAAGGAAAAACAUAAAUGUUAUUGCAUUUAAUGAAGAUGUAUUGCAUCAUAACAACCUAGCAUUAAGCAAAAUCUCUUGCGUUCAUAUUAAGUUAGAUUUACAGAGAUUUGAGCACAAGACAAGGUGUGUACCUUGCUGCUUAAGAACUGCUCCAAAAAAUGCUUAGUAGAUGCAAAUAAUUCAGCCGCAAAGAGAUGGAUUUUCAACAGGUGAUCAGUAGAGAGCAAAAAACAAGAAAUAGCCACAUACAGCCUCAAACUUAAUCCAUUUUCAACUUGUGGAAACCAGAAAUCCCAAAGAAAUUCUUAAAAUUUUGCUCAAAUCAGAGGAAAAAAAAUUAGCUCUAAUGAAAUAGUGCUGAACCUUUAGGAGUGUUUUAGGGUUCUGAAAAUCUCCCUAAAUGAGUAAAGAAAGGUUCCAUUUAUAGGUAACCAAUGACAUGUGUUGAAAAGGAUAAGGGAAUUAUUCCCUUAAGCCACAAAAGCAUCUUUCAACAGAAUUGGAUAGCUGGCAGCUCCUAAUUGGUUUCAGUAUUUUGUACUGGCCAAAUAUAGCCAGCUGCCCAUAAUCUAGAACCUUUUAACAUAGCCUUAUCUGAAUUUCUAUUCACCUACCCUUCAAACAACCCCCUAAAAUUUUCUUUAUUGUUCAAUUAGCCCUACAAGUUUCCAUUAAUGCUGAAACAGUCAAUAUAAGACUACUGAAUGAAAUAAAAGCGGACCUUAGGCUAAUUAGGCGGAUGUUAAUUAAACUAAACUAAUUAGGCGAUUAUGCAUACUAACCAAAUAAUUCACACAAUAAAGUAGCUAAACACUGAUUAAUAUUAAACUAAAGUAAUUAAGAAUUAAGCUAAGUAGGCAGGAAUUAAACCAAAUUAACAAACCUAAUCGAACAAUUAGCAAAUUGUAAUGCUAAUGAAUCUGAAACAGAAAUAAACAGAUUAAUGAACCCUAAAAAACCUACUGACUAAGCAUGAGAAAAUCCAAUUAAUCCAUAGAUUAUUGUUACCAAAAUUUCUUCAUUUUUAGAUCAAGUGAAAAGGAAAAGAAAAGAAACAGAGUAAAGAAGGAGAGAAGAAAAGAAAAGAAAGGAAAAUAAGAAGAAUAAUCAAAGAAAUAGAAAGAGGAAGAAAACCAACCGAGAUACCUAGACUAGGCGGACGAUGGUUGGCUCAGACGAUACUCUGGCCUGCUCCGAUUUAAGCCAAAAUUAGUGUUAAUCGAAUGUUCUUAUUGAGAACAAACAACUAACACCAGUUUCGAGCUAAAUCGCUCUUGGAAACUUGAAGACAUGGAACUUAGGUUUUUACAUGUUACUAGAUCUAAAAUUAGCCAGAUUUAGCUGAGCUUUUGGGGAAAUUGAUAGAGGAUCGAGGCUUAGAGGGUGUGGGGGUUAUGGGGUAUGAAUUUGGGUGGGUUUGGAGACGGUUGGGUGGUGGACGCCAGCCAUUGGAGUGAGAGCAUUUGGGGCGGCUAGGGUUAGGGUUUGAGAGAGACAAAGAGGUGAAUAUGAUCUCUAGGGUUUUGGGGGGAAAAGGGAUUCAGACAGUUAAAUGGAAAGAGAUGAGGGGUUGCGGACCGUUAGAUUAAAUUUAAUGAACAAAUGAGAUGGAGUGUGACCAAACGACGUCGUUUUGGUUUCAGGGGGGAGGGGGGGUACUAGACUGGGCAGGGGUUGGGCUAGGCGGAACUGGGGCAAAAUUAAUUGGGCUUUGACACAUUUGGCCCAAUUCGAGUCCAAACAAGCCUUCUUUCUCCUUGUUUAUUUGACCCAAAUUUAAUUAAUACUAAUUACCAAUCACUAAUAAAUCUAAAUAACCCUAAACAAGACCUAAUAAUGAAGUUGAUUUAAUUAGCUAAUUCUAACACAAAUAAUUAAUUAAUUUUAGAACUAAUGAAAGAAAAAUACUAAAACUAAAACUAAAAAAAUGGAACAAUGUAUAUUUUUUUGAUUUUGUUUUGUGGAUGGGAUUAAUUAACAAUUAAACUAAAAUGCAACUACCAAACCAAGAAUGCAAUGCAUGGAACUCGAAUAUAUAAUUUUUGGGUAUUUUCUAUACUUUUAACAUAUGCAAAAAUGCACCUAAAAAUGCGUAUAAUUAAACAAAUAUCCUUAAAAUUCUAUAAAAAUUAAAAUAAACUACAAAAUUUUAUUUUGUGAUUUUGUAGGAGUAUUUUGGGUUGGGCAAAAAUCACGUGCUCACAACUGCCCCUCUUUGCUCGGGAACACGAAGAGUUUUUGGGCAAAGAUAAAGUGAGCGAAUACGAGCAAUUUUUACCCGCUUGGAUACUCUAUGGGAAUCAUUUUUGAAAGAUCCGACCGAACCUUGCUUCUGAGGCUGCCUACAUAUCCUUGGCUAUAAAGGAAUCAGGUCAGUGUAGUUCUGGAAGUUUUUGUAGGUGGGACUACCGGGAAGCUGUGAUUUCACUGCCGCUGCUGCUACUGCUUCCUGAACUCCUUAUUGCACCACAACAAUAAUGAAAAGAAUCUAGGCAAAUCUAUGCUCUAUAAAUUACAAGAUUCAUAUCUAUAUGUCUUCGACUUGAUCUUGAACUUUUGUUGUUCUAUCGCGCAUCUUGAACUGUUGAAUCACAUUCUUGAGGUGAGCUUUUGUUAUUUCUAACUUGAUUGACUUCAUGCUUCAGGCGGGUUAAUGCUGUUAUCUUGAGCUUACUUCUAAAAUGUACUCCCUCAUUCUCUAGGUGAGCGCCUGAUGCUAAUACUGAAAAUGACUUCCCUUGUUAUCUAGGUGGGCGCCUGAUGCUAAAACUGAAAAUGAAUUCCCUUGUUCUUCAGGUGGGCGCCUGAUGCCGAAACUUCCCUUGCUAUCCAGGUGGGCGCCUGAUGACAAAACUAAAAUGAAUUCCCUUGUUCUCCAGGUGGGCGCCUGAUACAAAAGCUAAAAAUGAAUUCACUUGUUAUCCAGGUGGGUGCCUGAUGCUGAAGCUAAAAAUGAAUUCCCUUGUUCUCCAGGUGAGCGCCUGAUGCUAAUACUGAAAAUGAAUUCCCUUGUUCUCCAGGUGUGCGCCUAAUGCUGAAACUAAAAAUGAAUUCCCUUGUUCUCCAGGUGGGUGCCUAAUGCUGAAACUAAAAAUGAAUUCCCUUCUUAUCCAGGUGGGCACCGGAUGCUAAAACUAAAGAUGAAUUCCUUUGUUAUCCAGGUGCGUGCCUGAUGCUAAAACUAAAAAUGAAUUCCCUUGUUCUCCAGGUGGGUGCUUGAUGCUAAAACUGAAAUGAAUUCCCUUGUUCUCCAGGUGGGUCCCUGAUGCUGAAACUAAAAAUGAAUUCCCUUCUUAUCUAGGUGGGCGCCUGAUGCUAAAACUAAAGAUGAACUCCCUUGUUAUCCAGGUGUGCGCCUGAUGCUAAACUAAAAAUGAAUUCCCUUGUUCUCCAGGUGAGCGCCUGAUGCUAAUACUGAAAAUGAAUUCCCUUGUUCUCCAGGAGGGCGCCUAAUGCUGAAACUAAAACUGAAUUCCCUUGUUCUCCAGGUAGGCGCCUGAUGGACACCUAUUUUCGGGUACACCUAUCCUAGACGGACUCAACCCCUGUGUUGAGUCCCCAAAGUCAAAUGCAUAUGAUGCAAACAAGCAUUUCUACUAGGGAUCCGACAUGAGGCUGUGUUAUUCUAGGUUUAAAACCUAGGUGUAUUGUUCUAGACCUAGCUUACCCGAGCAGACAACUUGAGCCGGGUGGGGCUACGUACUGGGAACCAAAAGGUCAUCCGGCUAUGUAACUGAUCCGAUCCUUGUUCUAAAUUAGGGUAUGACACUAACAGAAAAUAAGUCACGCCAGCGUGCACUUUCCAAAAGAUUAGAAGUGAGGGGUUUCGCAAUAGUUUAUAUACAGUUCAAAUAGUAUCAAAGCAGUAAAAAGUGGCAUUUAGCACAUCAUGCCCAAACAUGUAAUAGAAAUCAGAUAAUAAACAAAAGUCAAAUAUAACAAUUAUUCUAAGCUCGAAUUCUUGAACCCUGAACCAAAGAUUCUGAGUUCUUAUCCCCAGCAGAGUCGCUAGAGCUGUCACCUUUUUCUACCCCGGAGGGGGUAUAGGGGAGUUUUUCCAAGUAAAAUGACAAUAAUCGAAACGGGGUUAUUUAUUCAAGUUCAGAGUCGCCACUUGGGAUAAUUAAUGGUGUCCUAAGUCACCGGUUUAAAAUUCCGAAUCGAGGAAGUUUGACUCUAUUUUACAGUCCGUGAAACACCGAAAUUCGGGUAAGGAAUUAUGUUAACCCGGGAGAAGGUAUUAGGCAUUCUCGGGUUUUGUAAUUUUAGCACGGUCGCUCAACUAUUAUAAUUGGCCUAAUUAUCUGAUUAACUACAUAUUUUAAACCUAUUGUGCAUUUUUAACCUUUGACCGCUUUUAAUUAUUUAUGGAAUUAUUCUGGAACAAGUUACGAUUGUCGUACACUUGUAUGUUUGAUACACAUUGUGAAUUGUGUCAUGGGAAACGUACCCACGAUCUACAACACAUUUAAUUUAUUAACAUUAUUAAAAGUUGUGGCCAAGUCACAUAAAUGUACCCCCAGAUUUGAAAAUUAUGUAUCAUAACUACGUCACGGGAACUAUAACUGUAGCCAUGAUAAUUGUAUUAUAGCGUGCCUAAAGCAAACUGCGAAUGUUCAUGCUUACUUCUUGAAACUAAUUCGAAAAUUGUUUGAAGGCCACGAAUUAUAGCUAAGGCCUGGAAAGUUAUGCAUGCUUUUAACGAUUCUGAAAUAUUGGGCCAGCAAGAAACCUAUUAUGUUAAGUCCUUAAGAAUAAGAUUGUUGAAUUAAUUAUGCCCAAAACUGAGCCCAUGAAGCGGAAGAUACCCAGACCCCAUGCCAAGUCCGAUCUUGACCAAGCCAUCUCAUUCGGGCUAAAAUGAAGCCCAAUUAUUUUAAUAGGAAAAGUCUUUAGCAUGCUAAAGCUCUUGCUAAAAUUCAACCUCUGCUAAUACACAAAUAACUACACAAUUAUUCAAUUGAAAACGAAUAUGCAGCACUACUUUUAUUGAUUAAUAACGUUAACAUCACAUGUAUGGGCAUUUUUAUCAAUACUGAAUCCUAAGAUAACAAAUCCACGCAUUAUUUAGCAGUUGGACAAUGAUUUUCCUUUUUUGAAAGUUUAUGAACUUGGACCUUAGACUUACAGCAUUGGCAGCAUAAUAUUCUGCAUGCCCUUUCAAUGAAAUAAACAACAGAAAAGGGCUAAACCAUUAUACAAUCUUCGUGGAUUUCCACGUAGAUCCAGCUCAUGAAAAAUAAGUUACUUAAAGCAUUCAAUUCUGAACCUCCGAAUAUUUUUAUACAUCAUAUCUAUUUACAUAAAAAUUCCAUAUUUAUCUAGCAGUAACCACAAACCAUGAACCAUUGAUUAACAACUCACGAUAAAAAAAAUGAACAAAACUCAAUCUAUGGAAUGAUAGACAGACUCAGCCUGAACUAUCAAACAAAUAAAUUAAGGACUACAAUUGAAUAUCUAGGCAAUAGUCUUUCAUAAGGCUGCCAAUUUUUCCAUAUAUAAGCAGAAAUUUGUUUCACCUUUGAACUCACAUGGAUCUGACCAUGUCGAGAUCAGAUCCACCAAGAGCAAGGCUACAGUGUUAUCACACUCAUCCAACAAAACAGGAAUAUUAAACAAGAAUGAACAAAUGAAAAUAGUAUAUGUAACCUAAAAUAAAACAGAUAACAAAUACUGCAUUUAACACACAAGAAACAUGAUUUCAUAGCAUGAGAAACACUGAAUUAAUAAAGAGUUACAUGGUCAAGGAAAAACUUAAAUGUUAUUGCAUUUAAUGAAGAUGAAUUUCAUCAUAACAACCUAGCAUUCAACAAAAUCUCUUGCGUUCAUAUUAAGUUAGAUUUAUAGAGAUAUGAGCAGAAGACAAGGUGUGUACCUUGCUACUUAAGAACUACUUCAAAAAAUGCUAAGUAGAUGCAAAUAAUUCAGCAGCAAAGAGAUGGGCUUUCAGUAGGAGAUCAAUAGAGAGAAAACAGCAAGAAACAGCCACACACAUCCUCAAACUUAAUCAAUUUUCGACUUGUGGAAACUAGAAAUCCCAAAGAAUUUCUUAAAAUUUUGCUCUAAUCAAAGGAAAAGAGAAUCAGCUCUAAUGAAACAGUGUUGAACUUUUAGGAGUAUUUUAGGGUUCUAAAAAUCUCCCUAAAUGAGUGAAGAAAGGUUCCAUUUAUAGGUAACCAAUGUCAUGUGCUGAAAAGGAUAAGGGAAUUAUUUCCUUCAGCCAUAAAAGCAUCUUUCAACAGAAUUGGACAGCUAGCAGCUCCUAAUUGGUUUGGGUAUUUUGUACUAGCCAAAUAGGGCUAGCUGCCCAUAUUCUAGAACCUUCUAACAUAGCCUUAUCUGAAUUUCUAUUCCCCAUAUUUCAAACAACCCCCUAAAGUUUUCUUUAUUGUUCAUUUACCCCUACAAGUUUCCAUUAAUACUGAAACAGUCAAUAUAAGACUACUAAAUUAAAUAAAAGCUGACCUUAGGCUAAUUAGGCGGACAUUAACUAAACUUAACUAAUUAGGCGAUUAUGCAUACUAACCAAAUAAUUCACACAACAAAGUAGCUAAACAUUGAUUAACAUUAAAGUAAACUAAUUAAGAAUUAAGCUAAGUAGGGAGGAAUUAAGCCAAAUUAACAAACCUAAUCGAACAAUUGGCAAAUUGUAAUGCUGAUGAUUCUGAAACAUAAAUAAACAGAUUAAUGAACCCUAAAAAACCUACUGACUAAGCAUGAGAAAAUCAUAUUAAUCCAUAGAUUAUGGUUACCUAAAUUUCAUCAUUUUCCGGUUAAGAGAAAAGGAAAAUAAAAGAAACAGAGUAAAGAAGGAGAGAAGAAAAGAAAGGAAAAUAAGAAGAAAAAUCAAAGAAAUAGAAAGAGGAAAAAAACAGCCGAGAUACCUAGACUAGGCGGACGGCAGUUUGCUUAGACGAUACUCCAGCCUACUUCGAUUUACGCCAAAAUUAGUGUUAAUCGAUAGUUCUUGUUGAGAACAAACAAUUAACACCAGUUUUGGGCCAAAUCGCUCUUGGAAACUUGAAGGCAUGGCACUUAGGUUUUUGCAUGUUACUAGAUCUAGAAUUGGUCAGAUUUAGCCGAGCUUUUGGGGAAAUUUGUAUGGGAUCGAGGAUUAAGCGGGUGUGGGGGCUAUGGGGUGUGAAUUUGGGUGGGUUUGGAGACAGUUGGGUGAUGGCCGCCGGCCAUUAGAGUGAGAGCAUUUGGGGGAGGCUUGGAUUAGGGGUUGAGAGAGACACGAAGGUGAUAUGGUCUCUAGGGUUUUGGGGGAAAAGGGGAUUCAGAUGGUUAAAUGGAAAGGGGUGAGGGGUUGCAGACCGUUAGAUUAGAUUGAAUGAACGGGUGAGAUGGAGUGUGACCAAACGACUUCGUUUUGGUUCCGGGGGGGGGGGUUACUGGACCGAACAGGGGUUGGGCUGGGCAGAACUGGGGCAAAAUUAAUUGGGCUUUGACACAUUUAGCCCAAUUCGAGUCCAAACAAGCCUUCUUUUUCCUUGUUUAUUUGACCCAAAUUUAAUUGAUACUAAUUAAUAUUACUACUAAUUACCAAUCACUAAUAAAUUUAAUUGACCCUAAACAAGACCUAGUAAUGAAGUUGAUUUAAUUAGAUAAUUCUAACACUAAAAUAAUUAAUUGAUUUUAGAACUAAUGUAAGAAAAAUACUGAAACUAAAACAAAAAAAAUGGAACAAUGUAUAUUUCUUGAUUUUAUUUUGUGGAUGCGAUUAAUUAAAAAUUAAACUAAAAUGCAAAUAACAAACCAAGAAUGCAACGCACGGAACCUCGAAUAUAAAAUAUUUGGGUAUUUUCUAUUUUUUAACGUAUGCAAAAAUGCACCUAAAAAUGCAUAUAAUUAAACAAAUAUCCUUAAAAAUCCUAUAAAAAUUAAAAUAAACUACAAAAAUUUAUUUUGUGAUUUUAUAAGAGUAUUUUGGGUUGGGCAAAAAUCACGUGCUCACAAUUACUUCCAGAACAUGAUGUUCGCUAUGGGUAAACCAUUUGCAGAAGCCAUAAAGAUUAGGGAAAUGGUAGAGAAUGGUUUGAAAACGGGUCGCAUCCUGAGCCAACGGCUAUAAGAGCCACAUAUCAAGCAAUCCAAAGCGGGUCAGGGGCUGCAGCAAAUCGGAAAAAGAAAGAAGAAGUGGCAAUGAUGGCCUCAAGUCUGAGAAACCUCCAUCAACCCCGAGGUUACUUUUGUUCCACUUCAAGCACCCCGAAACAUUACUACCCUCACCAAGAUGCGACAUACGCCAUGACUCUUCAGCAUUAUGUAGUAAUGAAUGCCCACCCAUACGCUCGGCCGCAACAAUAUUAUAACCAAAACCAAGCUCCACCUCCCAGAAACAACCCUCCUUGCCAAUCUCCAUAUAAUUCUCGUCCACCCCAAAAUAAUUUUCCUUAUAACACCCAUGCCCAUGAACUACCUAGAAAAACCAACUUCACGCCCAUCAGUGAAUCAUAUUCCAGCCUCUUCCCAAAUUUGGUCCAAAUGGGUUUGCUACAACCUGUACCUCCAAACUGGCAAAACCCAGAGUCACCCUCCUACCGACCCGGUACCUGAUAUGCUUAUCAUUCUGAGGUAGAAUGGCACGACACUAAAGAUUGUUGGACCCUUAAGAGAGCGGUCGAAAACCUAAUAGAACAAAAGCGGGUAGUGUUGAGGGAUGAGGAGGUCCCCAAUGUAACCAAUAACCCAUUGCCAGCUCACAACAAUGAGCUAGUUAUUAGGAUAAUUUGUGAAGAUAAAGAGCUUGACUUGGCUUUGAAAGAUAUCAUCGCUUUUUUCGAUGUUAAAAAGAAGCCCAAAACGGCAGCAAAGCAAGCUAAGGAUGUGAAGAAAAACAAUUCUACUCCUCAAAGCGUAGAAAAGGUUGUGGAAACCAAAACCGGGGUAGUACCUCCUAAAAUUGCCAUUUUGUAUGUUCCCACAGCCCCCAAAAAAGAACAGUUUGUAUUGAGUCCUCCCAAAAGGUUUUAGCAAAACAAGGUAAUGCUUACGGUACCAAAGAUGUAUGUAUCAAAGGGGACUUAUGUGGCGCGAGGGCCGAUAAUUUCACCCAGGCUGACUAAGCCUGUGGUUAUCAGCUGCGCACCACAGAAGCCCAUGAAGGACCCCACUGCCAUCCCCUGGAACUACAAUGAAGCAGUGGUAACGUACAAGGGAAAGGAAAUAAUGGGGGAGGUGAAUGAAACAAACCCAUCUGGAAAGUACCUCAAUUUGGAAGAAAUGGACAAGACCAAACAGAAGCGUUUUCCGCUUAAAAAGCCAGUCAGUGCUGAAGAGGUAGAGCAAUUCUUCUGAAAGAUGAAAACCUUGGACUACAUUGUGAUUGAUCAACUCAGGAAGUCCCCCUCAUAGGUAUCACUUUUGUCUCUACUGAUAAGUUCGAAUGAGCAUCAGAAAGUGAUGUUGAAGACGCUUAAUAAAGCAUAUGUUUCGGUCGAGACCACCGUUGAGAAAUUGGAAAGAAUGGCGGAAUGAUUUUUUGAAGUCAGUCGGAUCUUCUUCAGUCGAAAUGACUUGCAACUAAAAGAGGUUUCCCACAACAAAGCUCUUCAUUUGACCGUUAAGUGUGAAGGGUACUACGCGAAAAGAGUUAUAUUGGAUGGUGGAUCUGGAGUUGAUAUCUACCCUCUCUCGACCGUACAAAGAAUGGAAAUUGGGACUGAAAGGAUUAGGCCCAACUAUGUUUGCGUGCGUGCAUUUGACGGCGUCAAAAGGGACAUGAUAGUGGAGAUUGAUUUGAUCUUAAACAUCGGCCCGGUGGAUUUUGAAGUAACAUUUCAGGUUUUGGACAGGGAAACCUCCUACAAUUUUCUCCUAAGAAGGCCUUGGAUCCAUGCGACAAGGGUUGUACCCUCUACUCUCCACCAAAUUGUUAAGUUUGAACAUGAGAACCAGGAAAUUGUGGUCCACGGGGAAGUUGAGCUAUCAAUCUAUAGGGACCCGCUAGUCCCAUGUUUGAAGGCUAGGGAAGGUAGUGAGCAUAUAUUCUACCAAGCUUUUGAGAUCGUGGUCGCGGACCAGUGUGAGGAAGGAACCCCGUGUCCUCAACCCUUCUUGUCAAACGCAUCAAUCAUGGUUGCUAGUUAAAUGAUCAAACACGGCUACAAGCCGGGGAAAGGGCUCAGAGCAUCUUUACAAGGCAUUACAGAACAUAUCACUUUGACUACCGGUGAGAAAUUCUUUGGUGUCGGUUUUUGAGCUACAGAAGCCGACAUAAAAUGGGCAAAUAAGCAUAAGAACGAUGGGUAAGUUCUGCCUCAGCCAGUUCCGCAUCUCGCCAGAACGUGCCGAAGAAAUUGAGGAUAUAUGUGGGGCAAUGAGGCAAAUGUUGUAUGAGGAUCAUAUGGUCCAGCCGGGUGAAGGCUCAAGCACUGCUAUGGUGUAAUAUAUGGGGCCCAACGCCAAGAUUCAAAAUUGGAAGGCUACUCCAUUCCCAGUCAGGCGGGAAUCCCGGUAGUUCAGUUUUGCCAUCUUUUCUGCAUUCCGAGUUAUAUCAGGGUGUAACUCGAAUGUUUUUAGUUUAUUGUCUUUUAAAUUCCGAUGUAAACCCUUCUAUCUUCAAAUUUACUGAAAUGAAAUCAAUAUUUCAUCGUCUAUGAAUCUCUCUCUUUAUUUUUCUAAUUUUUGUUAUUUUUCUUAUCUCUAUUUUUAGUUCUAAUAAUGCGGACUUAAAUAACAUGAUAUACUUGCGAACUUCAUGCCCAGAUCCUAAAACACUGUCUAAGUGUGAAAUAAUGAAUCAAGAACCAGAAUAUGAUGAAGAUGAGGCUUUAAGGAAAAUAAACCGAGCACUGGAACAAUUUGAGAAUAAGCCUAAGCCAAACUUAUAUGAAACUGAGCUGGUUAAUUUGGGUAGUUCAGAAGAGGUCCAGGAAACCAUGAUAAGCAUUCACACUGAUGAAAGAACUAGGGAUACAUUGAUCCAACUUUUGUUUGAAUUCAAAGACGUGUUUUCCUGGUCCUAUGAUUAUAUGCCAGGAUUGAGUGUUGAUUUAGUAGUGCACAAAUUGCCAACUUACCCCGAUUAUCCCCCUGUCCAACAAAAAUAAGAAAGUUUAAAACAAACAUCAGUGACAAGAUCAAAGAGGAAGUCACCAAACAGUUGAAAGCGGGUGUGAUCCGAGUGGUCCAAUAUACCACAUGGUUGGCUAAUGUGGUCCUAGUGCCAAAGAAAAAUGGGAAAACCCGAGUGUGUGUUGAUUAUCGAGAUUUGAACAAAGCAAGCCCCAAGGACAAAUUUCCAUUACCAAACAUCCACAUCCUUGUUGACAACUGUGCCAAACAUGAGAUACAGUCUUUCGUGAAUUGUUAUGCUGGGUAUCAUUAGGUUUUGAUGGAUGAAGAAGAUGCAGAAAAGAAGGAUUUCACCACACCUUGGAGUACUUACUACUAUAGGGUCAUGCCGUUCGGUUUAAAGAACGUCGGGGCAACUUACAUGAGAGCUAUGACAGCCAUUUUUCAUGGCAUGAUGCACCAGGAAAUUGAGGUGUAUAUGGAUGAUGUGAUAAUUAAAUCCAGAAUGCAGGAUGAUCAUGUGCGAGAUUUGAGAAAGUUCUUUGAGCGCCUGUGUAAGUAUGACUUGAAGUUGAAUCCAGCUAAAUGUGCAUUUGGAAUACCACCUAGGAAUCUUUUGGUGUUUAUAGUCAGUCGGAGAGGCAUCGAGUUAGAUCAAAGAAAGUUAAAGUAAAUUCAGGAUUUUCCACCUCCGAAAACCAAGAGAGAGGUUAUAAUUCUGCUGGGUAGGUUGAAUUACAUCAGAAGGUUCAUUGCUUAGUUGACUUCCACAUGUGAGCCCAUAUUUAAGUUGUUAAAGAAAGAUGCGGCGAUUAGAUGGACAGAUGAGUGUCAAGAAGCUUUCGACAAAAUCAAAGAAUAUCUGUCGAAUCCUCCAGUGUUGGUUCCACCUGAACCUGGAAGGCCUUCGUUCUUGUACUUGACAGUGUUGGAGAAUUCUUUUGGAUGUGUUCUCGGGCAACAUGAUGUGACCGGGAAGAAAGAACAAGCCAUAUACUAUUUGCGCAAGAAGUUCACUAGUUAUGAAGCCAAGUACACUUUGCUGGAAAGAACUUGGUGCACCUUAACUUGGGUCGCUCAGAAACUUAGGCAUUACUUGUUGGCCUAUACCACCUAUCUCAUAACCAUAUUGGAUCCUUUGAAGUACAUAUUCCAAAACCCGAUGCCCACAGGGAGGCUAGCAAAAUGGCAAAUCAUGCUCACCGAGUUUGACAUAGUCUAUGUAACCCGCAUGGCGAUUAAAGCUCAAGCCUUGGCGGAUCACCUAUCUGAGAAUCCUGUUGAUGAUGAAUAUCAACCUUUAAGUACCUACUUUCCGGACAAGGAAGUAAAUUCAGUUGAGGUAACUCCAGAAGACACCAAUGCUUGGAAAAUGUUCUUCCACAGAGCUGUAAAUGCAAAAGGUGUCGAGAUUUGGGCAAUUUUGAUUUCGCCCAUUGGUCAGCACUAUCCGGCCACAGCCCGACUUCGGUUUUUCUGUACAAAAAACAUUGUCGAGUAUGAAGCCUGCAUUAUAGGCAUGAACAUGGCAAUCGAUCAGGAUGUGGAAGAAUUUUUAAUCAUGGGAGAUUCCUACUUGAUUAUUCGACAAGCUCAAGGUGAAUGGGAAACUCGGGAUAUCAAGCUUAUCCCAUAUAGGAAACAUGUGGAAGAUCUUAGCAAAUGGUUCAAGUCUGUUGAAUUUAGGUACAUCCCUCUAUUCCACAAUGAGUUAGCUGACGCGUUAGCUACUUUGGCCUCGAUGCUGCCAUAUCCGGGUAAUGUCCACAUUGACCCACUAGAAAUCAAAAUUCGAGAACGACAUGGUUACUGUAAUACAAUUGAGAUGGAACCACAUGUUCAUCCAUGGUAUCAUGAUUUAAAAAGAUUUUUGAAAACAAAGGAAUAUCCCGAGCAAGCCAGUGGAGACCAAAAGAGAACCAUUAGAAGGCUCACUAGUGGUUUCUUCUUGAGCGAAAAAGUCUAGUAUAAAAGGACUUCAGAUCUGAACCUUUUAAGAUGUGUGGAUGCCUAAGAGGCUGGAAGAAUCAUGAAUGACGUGCACGCAGGAGUGUGUGGGCCACAUAUGAAUGAUACGUCCUUGCAAAAAAAAUCCAUCGGGCAGGUUAUUACUGGAUGACCAUGGAAAUUGAUUGCUUCAGUUUUGUACGAAAGUGUCAUUAGUGUCAGGUACACGGCGACUUCAUUCAUGCACCGCCUUCAGAAUUGGAUCUUAUGAAAGCACCGUGUUCGUUCGUUGCUUAGGGCAUGGAUGUUAUUGGGCCAAUCGAUCCGAAAACUUCAAAUGGGCACGGAUUCAUUUUAGUUGCCAUUGAUUAUUUCACAAAAUAGGUUGAAGCACUCACUCACAAAGCCGUCACCAAGAAAGCAGUGGUGGACUUCGUGCAUUCCAACAUUAUCUGUCAUUUUGGUAUUCCUAAAACCAUCAUUACGGACAAUGCUGCAAAUUUGUACAAUCAUUUCAUGAGGGAGGUGUGUGAACAAUUUAAGAUCACACAUCAGAAUUCUACUCCUUAUCGGUCCAAACCUAAUGGUGUUGUUGAAGCAGCAAACAAGAACAUCAACAAGCUUCUCAGGAAAAUGAUUCAAAGUUCUAGACAAUGGCAUGAAAGUUUUCUUUUGCAUUGUUGGGAUAUCGCACCACUGUGAGCACAUCAGUUAGGGCAACACCCUAUCUAUUGGUUUAUGGCACUGAAGUUGUAAUAACUGCAGAAGUUGAAAUUCCAUCUCUUUGAAUCAUCGUUGAAGCGGAAAUUGAGGACAAUGAAUGGGUCAAGACCCGUCUAGAAUAGUUAACCUUGAUUGAUGAAAAGCGAAUGGUUGCAGCUUGCCACAUGCAGUUGUAUCAACAAAGAAUGGCCCGCGCCUACAACAAGAAAGUGCGGCCUAGGAACUUUGAAGUGGGGCAACUCGUUUUGAGACGUAUUCUCCCGCACCACAAGGAAGCAAAAGCAAAAUUCGCUCCAAAUUGAAAAGGUCUGUACAUUAUAAGGAAAUUGUUGCCGAAAGGGGCAUUAUACUUGGGAUACAUUGAAGGAAAUGACCUUGAAACAGUUGUCAAUGAGGAUGCGGUCAAAUGGUAUUACGUCUAAACCUUUUGUGGUACUAAAAUUCUCCGAUUGGGAUGAUGGAGGCUUUCAUUCUCGCUACCCAAACACUGUUAACCCUUUGCAAACCCUUUGAGCCAGUUACCUUUCUUUGAUUACCCUCUUUGGAACCCGAAAGUGUAAAAAAAAAAACUAAACAAAACAACAAAAACAAAAAUAAAAUCAAAACAAAGUUCCAUAUGCUAUGUUUGACUUGAUUCCGAAAGGAUACGUAGGCAGCCUUUCUCUGGGUUUCAGUCACACCAACCUAAAAAUCCAUAUUUCCCCAAAGUUGAAACUGGGGCAAAAGUUAUAGUGGUUCCGCGACGGUUCGCCUGAAAGGUUCCAAAGUUGUAAUUAAAUCCAAACUCUUUUUACCCUAAAUCAUGUUCAAAGUCCUUCUGAUCAAUCGGUAAAUAUGUUCAAUAGGGGAGGAUAUUGGUUACUUGGAUCUGAUACAAUCAAAUGAGAGAGUCUUAUUGGUGAAAACCCACAGGGGCACCGUAAAGUGAUAGUGUGCAGAGAAAUUAAAAGUGGGAGUCUUGUUAGUGAAAACUCGCAAAGAGCACUAUAAGGCGACGGAGAGAAGAGAAGUGAGAGAGGUCGGUCGGCAAAAAUCCGCAAAGGGCGCCACUGAUCGAAAAAAGGAAUCCCUUACAAUCAUCGGCACUGAUAGAGUCUGGAAAGGGUUUCUCGGUUUUGAGGUAUGAGUUAUGAUGGGUUUAUGAGAGUUGGAUGGUUUGUACAUAUCGGGUAUCCAGUCCAAGAAGCAUGUCAUGUCUAUUGAAUUCUGCAUGCACUCCAGAUAAGUCAUUCUCUCCUUUCCCCGAAAGGGACACUUCUCGUUUAAAUUCAUUAUCAUGUCCGUUGUUUACUUUUCUUUGAAGUCUUUUUGGUCUAAUUCUCCUCUGAAACUAAUACAAAGAAGAGAUUGCAAGAUUGGUUUUAUAGGGUUUUUGUUUGACAAAAGCUAAAAUUCAAGAAAAAAGCACCUGGCCUCAGCAAGUGCAUAAGGUCGACCUCGACUAGCCAUGAUGGCUGAUGCUCCAGAUUUGAAAACUCUCAAAAAGAAAAGAAAUCAAAGUUAAGUGCCCGUAAAGGCAAAAUAAGAUGGAAAAGGGCCAAGCCCCACACGGGUCAAUCAUCAUGUGGAAUUUUGGAAAGUCAAGAUCCCUGGGUUUAGAAAUGAAACCAAUUUCCAGAACGUCAGCAAGCAAUGGAGAUUUUGUUGAAAGAGUCGGGCCAAGAUCAAGUGAUUGAAACAAUCAAGGCCACAAAACCAACCACUGUUUCAAAUUGACAAAUUGUUCUUUGAUUUGAAAAUAGAAAAAUGGGUGCAACCCAAAACAAACUCGUAAGAAGAAGGUGCAACAAAAGCAAGGUACGCAGAGGCCAAAACAGUUGUGCAACAAAAGUUAACCCAAAAAGGGAAGUCCCUUUCAAACUAUUCAUUCAUUCUCCUUAAUAAAAUGCUAAAAAUGAAAUAAAAAUAAAUUAGAAGAAAAAUUCAAAAUCAUGGUAGCAUAGGAUCUCCAAUCUCUAGCUACGUUUGUCCAACAUAGGGUCCUACCCCCUAGCCCUUUCCGGCAUAACCCGAUGACUUCCUCGGCAUAACCCGAGGACCUUUUUCGGCAUAACCCAAUGACUUCUCUAGCAUAACCCGAGGACCCUUUCCAACAUAACCUGGUAAUCUUUCCAACAUAGGGUCUCACCCCCUAGUUGAUCCCAGCAUAACCCGAGGACCUUUCCGGCAUAACCCGAUGACUUUUCCGGUAUAACCUAAGGACCUUUCCGGCAUAACCUGAUGACUUUUCGGCAUAACCCGAGGACCUUCCCGGCAUAACCCGAGGACCUUUCCAGCAUAACCCGAUGACUUUCCCGGCAAAACCCGAGGACCUUUUUCCGGCAUAACUCGAUGACUUUUCCGGCAUAACCCGAGGACCUUUUCGGCACAACCCAAUGAAUUUCCUGGCAUAACCCGAGAACCUUUCCAGCAUAAGCUGAUGAUCUUUCCGGCAUAACCCGAUGAUUUUUUUAGCAUAACCUGGUGAUCUUUCCAACUUAGAGCCUCCAAUCCCCAGUUGAUUUCAUUUUAGAUAUAGGUUCUCCACUUCCUAAUCUUUUUUUUCCAAGGAUACACAAUCCUGAUUUUAUUGUUUUCAAUAGAGAAACAACUUAGAUUUUGUUGCAAUAACUCACGAAAUUUUCCUAGUGAAAACUGGGACAGAAAAAUUUCGUUUAUUUGUUUGUUUUGGUGCCUGAACAAGUUUUUACCAUAAGGCACGAGGUUUGAUAUGACCAAAAGAAGAAGUCUCAAUCCGAAUAAAAAAAAGAAAAACAAGAAAAGAAGUUGGACUCUAAGUGUGGAAGCAGAGAAAAGAUGCUGACUGCUCAAGAUAUGAUUGAAGUCAAAAGCUUUGCAUGUACCGCCUUGAUCCGAAAGCUGAAGAAGAAUGAACCCGCGACUGCAGCUAAUGACCAUUAAGAUUCAGAUCAGAGUCUAUAGGAUGAACCAGCCAAGACUCAAGAUCAAGCUUUAGAAGGUUUAUAGAUAGGAAUCUUGUAACUCGUAGUUGGUAGGCUUAGCUAGUUUAGGUUUUCAUUUUUUAUUUUUGGUGUAAUAAGGAGCUCAGCAAGCAGAAACAACAGUGAAAUCACAGUUUCUUGGUAGUCCCCAACUACCAAAACCUCCAGAACUACAUUGACCUGAUUCCUUUAUAGCCAAGGAUAUGUAGGCAACAUCUGAAGCAAAGUUCGGUCAGACUUUUUCCAAAAACUGCUUCCCAUGGAGUUUUAAGCAGGCAAAAAUUGCUUGUAGUUGCUCAUUUUAUCUUUGCCUGAAAAAUUUUCGUGUUUCCGAGCAAAGAGGGGCAGUUGUGAGCAUGUGAUUUUUGCCCUAUUCAAAAUACUCCUACAAAAUUAAAGAAAAUAGAUUUUUUUCCAAUUAUUUGCAAUUUUAUAGGAUUUUUGUAGGAUUUUAUUAAUUGUUUGCAUUUUUUGUGCACAUUUAAUUUUUAUUAAAAUCAUGAAAAUGCCCCAAAAACGUCAAAGCAACAUGCAUUGCAUAUUAGUACUUGUGUUCAUAUUUUAGGAUUAAUUAGUUAAUUAUUUGCUUUAUCAAAAUGAAAAAUCACAAAAUUUUGUUCAUUUUACAUUUUUAGCCUCUAAUGCUAAAUUAGUAAUUUUCUCUUCUUUAAUUUAAGAUCAACUAAUUUUUGCAAAUACUAUAACUAGAUAAUUAGCUUAAUCUUUGCAAAUUUGAUUAAUUUAGGAUUUAAUUUAAGAUUUUAAUUAAUUAAAGAAAAAGAAAAAAACAAAUAGAAAAGGAAAAAUAGAACAAGAUUUUAUCUUAGUGUAUUGGGUCAAAUUUCAUUUAGCCCAAAUACAAUUUCCAAUUCCACCCCAGCCCAAUCCCAUAAAACCGAUCCAAUUCCUUUUAGCCCCAAAACGACCCCGUAUUGAUCCUUCCCUAAUCCCAACCGUGGAUCAUCAUGAAUCUAACGGCUGGGAACUGAUCGUUUUUUUAUAUAAAAGUGUUCGAAAUCAAAGACCCCCAUCGACCCCCUCUCUUUCCGUCUCUAUACUCUCAAACCCCAAACCCUAGCCGCCCCCUUAUUCCAUGCCGGCUCCACCUCUCUCCGCCGCCCGAAAAUUGCCUUAAAGUGGCAGAACAUCAACAAACAACCUCAAAUUAACACCCUGUAAUUCUGAGCCACUCACAAACACUAUCCUACUAUCAAUUUCCCCAAAAUCACCACCCAAAUCCGCCAAUUUCAUAUCUGAAAUCUAAACCUAAAAACGCUAAAUCACCCAAAUAGCCCCAAACUCACACCAUAGGACCCUUAACCUCCCCUCACCACUGUCCUGCCCUUGAUUCCCAGAAAAUCCCCGCCAAAGUUCUCGAAUCUUAAAUCUACGAAGAACCAGAAAUCCUGGUUCUAUUUUUCUUUCACUUUUCGAGUUUCUUUGGAUUGCUUCCAGACUCGACUUAGUUGAAAGACCAUGCUAAUAAAUCAUUCUCAACAAGAACGGUUGGUUAGCAUAAUUUUUAGCUAUAUCGAAGAUUUUCUGAACUGCCAGACUCCUCUUGGUAUUUUCUUUAACCCUUUUCCUUGUUUCAUUAUUUUUGUUUCCUUAAUUUUUGCAUGUGAAUAAUCAUGAGUAAUUUAGUUCAUUUCUGUACAAGUUAUUUAGUUCACUGCUUAGGCUAGUACUAAAAAAUUUCAAAGAAUGUUUAACUGUUAGAAAAUUAUUUUAGUUGCGUAGCUUAUUUAAUUCGAUCACAGUGUAGGUUAAUUAGGUUAAUUAUUAUAUUUCAUUACAUUACCAUGCUUGUUUCCUUAUUUGUUAUUGUGUUCUUGCCAUCUGUAUUUGUUUAAAUCCAGUUCUUGUUUAGGGUUAAUUAGAUAAGCACUUUUAUUUACUUAUUAGGUUAUUUUUUAGGUUUAAAUUGCAUCAUCUUGAUUCUGUUUGUCAUGUUUUAUUUGUAUCUUGAUCCCGUUUGGCUUUGCCUCUGUUUGCCUUGAUUUGUAACUCACAAGAAACUUGAAUGGGCCUAAUUAAACUAAAAGAAAAAUUUAGGAGGAUUUCAGAACUUUAGAAAACAAAUAUCUAAAAGAAGAAAGGUCUAGAAGUGUAUCAGCUGUUCAAAAUUGGUUUUAAAAGAUGCUAAAAAAUGGACAGUUGGACAUUAUUCUCUGUCAAUAUGUUGUACUAUCUAAAGAACUUAGGGUAGAAUAUUCUUUGGAUGCUCUUUUUGAUAUACACUAUAAAAAAAAUGCCCUUCAAUCAUUCUCGGGGGAGGUUUUCAGCAUUUUCUGCACCUAAAAAACUUUCAGAAUACAAGGAACAAAUCCCAGAAAUUUUUCUGGAAAAACUUCAGUUUUCUAGGGUAGAUUUCUAGGUUAUUUCUCUGGUACUCUGAUUUUCUAGGAAUUUUGAAGUGCUGGUUCUUGGUUUUUUCUGGGCUGCCUUUCUACUGUUGCUGUGAUGUUUGUUCCUGUUGGUUAUCUCCUUCAUAGUUUCAAUUCGAGGUUCAUUGUGUGUCACUUUGAUUCUUGUUAUUAUAGGUAUGUAGUUCCUUUAUCUAAAAUCCUCCAUUGGUUCAUAAAUGAGAUAUGGUGUUCAAUUAGAAAAAUGUUUGCUUCUUCUGCCUAUAGUUUUAUAUACUUGUUUCAAGCUCAUUUUAUUUUAUUCAAUGAAUGGCGCUCCUCUGAAAUUCCAAGCCAGUUGCUUUCUUGUGAAAAAUGAUUCUGCCAUGUUUUGUGUAUGAAUCAUGCCUCAUGAGUUAUGCCAAGUUGAUCAUUUCGUCAAUAUUAGCUAUUGCUUACUUUCUUGUAGUCAUGUGAUGCUAAAUAGACCUCCUUUGUAAUGAGACUUUAAUCUUUUUUCUGAUUGUAUAUGAGAGGAAAGCCUCAGAACUAUUUGGGAGCUGGAAUCAAAGGCUGAUUUGCAAAGACAACUUUGUAGCUGGUUUUUUGCAAUCUGAAGUUUACUAAAGAGUUCAUAACAAAGGAAAAGCUCAAGACCAUGUUGAAACAUUAUUUGAAAAUUUUUCUUUAGUUGCAUCUAAGAUGUAUUGUAAUUUAAAUCUAUGGACUGUCCACUAACAAACUGAUUUUUGCAUAAAGUUAGUAUGGAGUAGAUUGUAAUAUUUUUCUUUAAGUUGAUUGUUGUGAUUGAUAGUUGGGGUAAAGUAUCUUAGUAAAGCUUAUGUUCAAGUAGUCCAUUGUUAUAUAU
rnacentral:lncRNA from 1 species